AGGCCCCUCUCAGGAUUGCCUUCUUCCUCCAAAAAUCUUUCUCCUUAAGAUUCGCCUCCGAGUCCUCCUUCUUGGAUUCCUCCUUCUCAGCUCUUCAACGGGGUCCUGAAAUGGUUUUCCUCAAACUGGGAUGAGACUACGUCUCAGCGAGUUCUACCCCACUAAGCCCGAUUAGAUAAACCAUUAUACUAAAGGCUGCCUAAACACGCACAGGGCAGAGGACUUACCUUGGCCUCAGAUCUCACCUGCAAGUCAGUAUAAUUCACAAUAGGCACCCAUUUACUCAAAACAAAUCGAACCAGUCGAUUACAUGUCACACAAAUCAUUCUCCACGGAGGAGUAUCUAAAAGCGAGGCCACGUGCAUUCUCUAGGACGACAUUCCAAGUCUCCGAGUCCACGUGCCUCGAACCUCGGGCCCACGUGCAUUCUCUUAGGCGACCUCUUCGCCAAAGUGAUACAUCAAGUCACCGAGCCCACGUGCCCUUUUAGAUGCCUGGGCCCACGUGCAUUCUCUUAGGUGCUAUCUCACCAAAGUGAUGCAUCAAUUCACCGAGCCCACAUGCCCUUUUUACGAUGCCCGGGCCCACGUGCAUUCUCUUAGGUGCUAUCUCACCAAAGUGAUGCAUCAAUUCACCGAGCCCACAUGCCCUUUUUACGAUGCCCGGGCCCACGUGCAUUCUCUUAGGUGCUAUCUCACCAAAGUGAUGCAUCAAUUCACCGAGCCCACGUGUCUUUUAGAUGCCAAACUCUGUCACCGAGCCACGUGCAUUCUCCAGGACGACAUACUGAGUCUCCGAGCCACGUGCAUUCUCUCAGGCGACCUUUUUGCCAAGGUGACAUAUUCAACCACUGAACUCAUGUGCAUUGUCCAGGUGACAUUCCAAUUCACCGAGCCCACGUGUCCUCUUUCAAGAGAUUACCAAUCUUCUUUCAAUACCGACAACCAAUGCUCAACGAUUUCUCAAUCAAAUAAUUAAAUCAACUCAACAAAGCAUUAUAAAUGCUAAAUAACAUACUUGGCCAAUCACCAAUCAAUAAUUCAAUCUCAAUCGAUUCCAAUCAAUUUAGGGUAAAUCCCUAAAAUAUCACAAUUUAUUCAAUUCCAUACAACGUAGAGCUCAAAUAAAUAAACGGACUGUCCCACGACAAUCAGCACGAGAUUUCGGUCGUCGGCCAUCAACAUCUUAAUUUCUGAAAAAUAAUUAAUUUCGAAAAUUAAAUAAUUAAUAUUAAAAAUUCAAUUUAGCUCAAAAUAAAGCCCGAUUAAAUAAACGGACUUCACCACGGUCAUCAGCACAAUAUUCCGGUCCCGAACCAUCUCAGUUGAAUUUUCGGAAAAUAAAUAAUUAUUUAAUUUAAUUCCGAAAAUUAAUAUUUAAAUACUAAAAAAAUCCACUUAGGCCCGAAAAGCCUAAUUGGAGCCCACUAAGGGUCGGGAAAAAUCCCUAGGCACUUCCAAUAAUUAGUAGACCACGUCUACUUGUUAAUUGCGCAAUCAAUUUAUCUAAAUCGCAUCACAAUUGACUAAUAAUUGCUAAUUUAUUCUAAUCUAACAACCUAAACAUAAUUUAUUAAAUCUAAACCAACCUUAAGCAUAAUUAGCCAACUAAUCCAGAAUUAGUGAGAUUACUCACCAAAUCACCUGCAAAUCAGAUCAAUCCGACGGGGGCGAUGCGAGGAACGACAAACUCCAAAGCAGGCCUCGGGUUCAGGGCGCGGAAACGGCCCAAAACGAGCUCGGAAGUGCUGGAAACCCACUCGGCUGCUUGCUGGACAGGGCUGGCCGAGGCUGCUCCGGUGGCUAGGGCGGCGAGGGAAGGCCAGCGGAGGGUGAGGGGGACGCGGGGAAGGUCCGGCGGGGCGGGGCGGUGGCCGGAGGUGGCCAGACAGGGGCAAAACAAGGGCUGGGUCGCGCGGGGGAGGUGCUGCAGCGAGUGACGGACGGCAGGACGGCGGGACGACGACGAGCGGCGGGCGCACAGGCACGGCAUGGGCGUGCGGUGCGGUGCGGUGGUGCAGCGGUAGGACGGGCGGCUGCUGUCUUCGUGCGCUCGUGGCUUCCGCUCGAGCUUUUGCUUUCUGGUUUUGCUUGCUCGAGCGUGCGGAAGAAGGAAGAAGAAGAAGAAUGAGAGAGAGAGAGAGAGAGAGAGAGAGAGAGAGAGAGAGAGAGAGGAUAGACAUUGACUAGUCAAAAGAAAAAAAAAGGAGAGAGAGAAGGUGGGCGGUGGGGAAUUCGCACGAGGGGGAGGGGAGAGGAGAGAGGAGAGAGAAAGAAAAGAGAGAAAAAGAAAGAAAAGAAAAGAGAGGGAGAGAGAGAGAAAAAGUAAAAUAACUAAUACUUUUCUUAUUUUAUUUUCUUUUCUCUUUCCCAAUCCAUUUCCUUUCGGGCUUCAAUUUUUCUUCCGAUAAUUUCUUUCUUGAAAUUUCGGACCCGUCAAUAAUUUGACGAGCGAUGAGACAGGAUCCUAAAAAUAAGAAUUAUGACGCGCUUAAAAUUCGAUUCCCGAAAUCAAGUUCAAUUUCGUGGUUAAAAAUCGAUCGGACGUGAUUUUAGCUCAAUCCAACCAAUUAGGUAGCUUUUAGGGAUUUUACAGCCGAUACAUCCCGUAACGGCUUUACCCAAUAGGUUAGUUAACUCGUGAGUGAUCAGCUCAGAGAAAAAGGGCCAUAGGCACGUCGACGAAAUGCCCAUUUCACUUUAUUGAAACGGGGUCGAAUUUCAGGAUGUCACAACUCUUCCCCUCUUAUAAAAAUUUCGUCCUCGAAAUUUAAACCAUUACACUUCGCUCAAAAAGGCGGGGGUACAACUGUCUCAUCGACUCUUCAGUCUCCCAAGUCGCUCCUUCAGUGCCGUGGUGUUGCCAGACCACUUUGACCAACAGAAUGGUCUUUGUACGCAGAACUUGCUCUUUACGAUCGACAAUCUGAACCGGGCUUUCCACGUAUGACACACGGUCAUCCACGUCUAAUUCCUCGAAAUUGAGCACAUGGGUCGGGUCAGGCUCAUACUUCCUUAACAUCGACACGUGAAAGACGUCAUGCACUUGCGCCAAUCUUGGCGGCAACGCAAGACGAUAUGCUAGGUUUCCGAUUCUUGAAAGAAUCUCAAACGGACCUACGUACCUCAGACUCAGUUUGCCUUUCUUACCAAAGCGCGAAGUUCCCCUCAUUGGUGACACUUUCAGAAAAACGUGAUCACCAACUUGGAAUUCCAAAGACCUUCGGCGCUUAUCUACAUAACUUUUCUGCCUGCUCUGCGCUAUCUUCAAUCUGUCUCUGAUCAUUGCCACGGCAUCUACUGAUUGCUGAACCAACUCUGGCUUGUUAUCUUCCUUUCUCCAACUUCAUCCCAACACACUGGAGUUCUGCACGCUCUGCCAUACAACACUUCAAAUGGAGCCAUCUUGAUACUCUGCUGAUAACUGUUGUUAUAGGCGAAUUCCACCAGAUGAAGUUGAUCUUCCCAACUUCCUUUGAAGUCUAUAACACACGCUCUCAACAUGUCUUCAAGAGUCUGAAUUGUCCUUUCAGACUGGCCAUCCGUCUGAGGAUGAUACGCCGUACUGUACUGAAGCUUUGUACCUAAAGCACUCUGCAAGCUUUUCCAAAAAGCAGCAGUAAACCUCGGGUCUCUAUCAGAUGUUAUCGUAAUCGGCACUCCAUGCAUACGAACCACCUGACGCACAUACAGGUCUACGUGUCUAUCCAAACUCAGGUCCUUUCGAACUGCAAUGAAGUGAGCCGACUUUGUCAGCCUGUCGACUACUACCCAAAUCGAAUCAUUCCCCUUCUGACUCCUUGGUAGUCCAGUCACGAAGUCCAUCGUGAUAUGCUCCCAUUUCCACUCUGGGAUCGCGAGAGGUUGCAAAAGUCCUCCCGGCUUGCAAUGUUGGGCUUUUACUUGCUGACAAGUCAAACACUUAGCCACAUGCUUGGUGAUGUCCGCCUUCAUACCUAACCACCAAUAGUGUUGACACAAAUUCUGAUACAUCUUAGUACUUCCAGGAUGAACGCUAUAAUUGCUACGAUGUGCUUCAGAUAAAAUUUAUUCUCUAAGCUCAACAUCGUCAGGUACAACCAAACGUCCUUGGAACCUUAGAAUCCCAUCAUCAGAAACUUGAAAAUCAGUUUUUCUUUUCUCGAUAUCCUCUUGAAGAAUCCUCUGCACGUCUGGGUCUGUCGGUUGAAGUUCUUUGAUUCUGACCUGGACAUCCGGUUCAAUUCUGAGGGUGGCCAUAAGACUCGAGAGGUGGCCUACCUCAAAUUUGAAUUCUGAAUCCCGAGCUCUCUCGAUCAAGUUCCACUCUUUAACCAAGAUUUGCACUAUUGAAGACUUCCUACUCAAUGCAUCGGCAACCUUAUUCACCUUUCCCGGGUGAUAUAAAAUAUCACAGUCAUAAUCCUUCAACAAUUCCAUCCAUCGACGCUGUCUCAUGUUCAACUCCUUCUGAGAGAACAAAUACUUGAGACUCUGAUGGUCCGUGAAGAUCUGAAACUUUUCUCCACACAAGUAGUGCCUCCAAAUCUUCAACGCAAAUAUGAUGGCUGUGAGUUCUAAGUCAUGCGUCGGGCAAUUCAAUUCAUGAGGUUUCAACUGCCGGGAAGCGUAUGCAACAACUCUGCCAUGUUGCAUCAGCACGCAACCCAAUCCUCUGAAUGACGCAUCACUAUAGAUCUCGAAUCCUCCAGGACCAGAUGGAAUCGUCAGCACAGGUGCGGUAGUCAGCUUUUCCUUCAGCUCUUGGAAACUACGCUCGCACUUGUCUGACCAUACAAAUUUCUCUUCUUUCUUCAGGAGCUUUGUCAGAGGCGAUGUUAUCGAUGAGAACCCUUCCACAAACCGUAUGUAAUAACCUGCUAACCCCAGAAAACUUCUGAUCUCUGACACUGAUGUCGGUCUCUGCCAAUUGAUCACGGCUUCUAUCUUGCUCGGGUCAACGGAGAUUCCUUCUCCGGAAAUCACAUGACCUGAGAACGCAACACGAGUCAACCAAAACUCACAUUUGCUAAACUUAGCAUACAGCUGAUGAGCUCUUAAGGUCCGAAGUACUAGUCUCAGAUGAUUCUCAUGCUCUUCUUUACUUCUCGAAUAGACUAAGAUAUCAUCAAUGAACACAAUCACAAAUUGAUCCAGAUAUUCCUUGAACACUCUGUUCAUCAAAUCCAUAAAUGCAGCUGGAGCAUUCGUUAAUCCGAACGGCAUCACUGUAAACUCGUAAUGACCAUACCGAGUACGAAAUGCUGACUUAGGAAUAUCCUUCUUCCGAAUCCUUAGCUGAUGGUAUCCUAUCCUCAAGUCGAUCUUCGAGAAUAUUGACGCUCCUUGCAGUUGAUCAAACAGGUCAUCUAUCCUCGACAAUGGAUACUUGUUCUUGAUCGUUACCUGAUUGAGCUGUCGAUAGUCAAUGCACAGGCGCAACGAACCAUCUUUCUUCUUAACAAAUAAAACUGGUGCUCCCCACGGUGAUGCGCUAGGACGAAUAAAUCCUUUAUCCAGUAAUUCUUGCAUCUGCACCUUCAGUUCCUUCAACUCAAAUAACGCCAUUCAAUAAGGUGCCUUCGAGAUCGGUUCUGUCCCUGGUGCUAGCUCGAUUACAAAUUCAAUCUCUCUUUUUGGCGGUAACCCUGGUAAUUCUUUUGGAAAGACAUCUGGAAACUCCUAUACCACUGCAAUAUCUUCCAUUUUCAGCUCUUCAACUGUCGUAUCCACGACAGUCGCUAAGUAUCCACGGCAACCCUCGUCUAACAAACGAGUUGCUUCCGGCGACGAGAUUAAGGAAAUCGAAGGUCCUCCUCGAUUCCCGACAAACUCAAAACUCUUACCCCCUAAUGGGUCAAACUGAAUUGCCUUGCGAUAGCAGUCCAUUUUAGCUCGUUGAUUGGUGAGCCAGUCCAUGCCAAUUAUCAAAUCAAAAUCAUACAUGGCUAGGACUAACAAAUCAAUUUUCCCCACUCUCUCACCAAUCUCUAACUUGCACCCCGAACAUCCCAAAGCAGCAAUGACUUUAUCUUUCAAGGGUGUAGAUAUGCAAAUUGCCAACUCCAAUAAUACAGGACUCAACCCUAGCAUCCUAACAUAUUGUUCGGCAAUGAAAGAAUGGGUUGCUCCCGAAUCAAACAAGGCAUAAGCAGGUUGGUCGUUGAGCGAGACCGUACCUGUGAUCACACCAGGCGCAGCUUCUGCCUGACCUUGGGUAAUUGCAUACACAGUGCCCUGAGCUGGAGGUCUGCUGUCCUCCUUGUAGUGCCUUCUGAGGAGCAUACCCUCCUAUCUGUCUCAACGAUGGCGGAGGCGGCAACUGAGGUUGUCCUCUUUGCUUCUUUGGACAAAAUCUGGCUAGGUGGCCAUGUUGGCCACAUUCGAAGCAUGCACCCGUCCUAGCUGGGUACGGUGCUGUUCCAUGUCUUCUCCCACACAAGCGACACUCGUCAUUCCUAAUAGCUCCUGACCUAUUAAAUCCACUCUUCUUACUGGGCGGGCUUUGGAAUCUAUUUCCAAACAUCAGCCUCUUUCCUUGGCGGAUGUUGUCUCUAUGAGAGCUAAACCUCGAUCCAGAUGAGGCUGCUUGCUCCGAUAUACCUCUCUCUAUCUUCUGAGCCCGACUGUAGACUUCACGAUAAUCUACCAAAUCCAAUGGUAAUAGAGGUUGUUUCAGUUCUGUACGAAGACCAUUCCUAAAUCUCCAAGCUUUCUCCUCGGGGUCCUCGAUCAAUCUUGGGGCAUAUUGAGAUAGUUCAGCGAACUUAACCCCAUACUGAUCGACGGUCAUCGAUCCUUGGUGAAGGCGUUGGAACUCCUCCAUCUUCAACUCUCGGGCAGCACUCGAAAAAUACUGAUCAUUAAAAGCUCUGAGGAAGGUGUUCCACACCCUUGGUACUCCUUCCGGGAACACAGCAUCCUUGGUGGCUUUCCACCAAAUGUUGGCAUUAUCUUGAAGUUGAUACACAGCUAGUAUCACCUUUUCUUCUUCAUUACACAUCAAGACUGCGAAUGCUUUCUCCAUAUCUUGUACCCACUGUGAUGCAGCCUCAGGGUCUCCAGUACCCCUAAACCUUGGUGGAUCUAGCCUUCGAAAGUGCCCCACUAACUUACUUAUUGAUCUUUCUGCAAUCACUAUUCCUGGCUGACCUUCAACGUUCAUUGCAGGAGGGAUUAUGGCAGGUGCGACUGCAGGUGUAGCAGCAGGAGCGGUCUGAGCAGCGGUGGUAGCUACGGCAUUAGCGGCGGCCUGAGCGACAGCUUCAACUGUCGCAGCUUGCUGAUCCAUUCUGGUACCCAUCGCUUCCAGAACACGCAAGAUUCCAUCCACCCUGGGAUCAUUAGGGGCUGCUACCCCGACAUCUUCGACAGGUGGAUUCACUCCACUCGCACUAGCCUGUGCUGGCGCUCGACCACGUCCGCCUCGGGUUCCGACACGAGUCGGAGCUCUACCCCGAAUAACGGCCCUACUGGUCCUCUUUGCAGGAGUUCUCGGCUCUUGAUCGCUCAUGGUGUAGCCUUACUCAACUAACACCUGUUUCCAAUUCCACACCGAAUUAGAAACAGAGCGAUCCAAACAACAAACAAUUUUAGCACUCAGCUAACACCAACAUGCAUCAGCAUGAAUUUAAAUGCCUUUCCUACUAACUAUCCCAUGGUCAACGCUCCUUAUCACUCCAAUCUUCAACCUGGCUCUGAUACCACAAAAAGGGGAUGUCACGCCCCGAUCCUCGGGCACGUGCACAUCCUUCUAUUUGGUCGAUUUUAUAAUGCGAUAUCGCAGGACAAUGCAUCGCCGACCCUUUCAAUUUUUAAGCACAUGCGGAAGCAGUUAAAAUCCCCAGACAAUAAAACAAUGGGAUAGAAAAGCAGGGCCAUAUUUUUCAUAUUGAAAUUUAUAACCAAACUUUUAUACAAAACACAAACCACUUCAAAACUAUUCACAUCAAAAUGGAGAUCUUAAAAGAAGACAAAAACUUAGACGAACUGGGCCGUACUCAAGGCCCCUCUCAGGAUUGCCUUCUUCCUCCAAAAAUCUUUCUCCUUAAGAUUCGCCUCCGAGUCCUCCUUCUGGGAUUCCUCCUUCUCAGCUCUUCAGCAGGGUCCCGAAAUGGUUUUCCCUAAACUGGGAUGAGACUACGUCUCAGCGAGUUCUACCCCACUAAGCCCGAUUAGAUAAACCAUUAUACUAAAGGCUGCCUAAACACGCACAGGGCAGAGGACUUACCUUGGCCUCAGAUCUCACCUGCAAGUCAGUAUAAUUCACAAUAGGCACCCAUUUACUCAAAACAAAUUGAACCAGUCGAUUACAUGUCACACAAAUCAUUCUCCACGGAGGAGUAGCUAAAAGCGAGGCCACGUGCAUUCUCUAGGACGACAUUCCAAGUCUCCGAGUCCACGUGCCUCUAACCUCGGGUCCACGUGCAUUCUCUCAGGCGACCUCUUCGCCAAAGUGAUACAUCAAGUCACCGAGCCCACGUGCCCUUUUAGAUGCCUGGGCCCACGUGCAUUCUCUUAGGUGCUAUCUCACCAAAGUGAUGCAUCAAUUCACCGAGCCCACAUGCCCUUUUUACGAUGCCCGGGCCCACGUGCAUUCUCUUAGGUGCUAUCUCACCAAAGUGAUGCAUCAAUUCACCGAGCUCACGUGCCCUUUUAGAUGCCUUGGCCCAUGUGCAUUCUCUUAGGUGCUAUCUCACCAAAGUGAUGCAUCAAUUCACCGAGCCCACGUGUCCUUUUAGAUGCCAAACUCUGUCACCGAGCCACGUGCAUUCUCCAGGACGACAUACCGAGUCUCCGAGCCACGUGCAUUCUCUCAGGCGACCUUUUCGCCAAGGUGACAUAUUCAACCACUGAACUCACGUGCAUUCUCCAGGUGACAUUCCAAUUCACCGAGCCCACGUGUCCUCUUUCAAGAGAUUACCAAUCUUCUUUCAAUACCGACAACCAAUGCUCAAUGAUUUCUCAAUCAAAUAAUUAAAUCAACUCAACGAGCCCGGAAGUGCUGGAAACCCACUCGGCCGCUUGCUGGACGGGGCUGGCCGAGGCUGCUCCGGCGGCUAGGGCGGCGAGGGAAGGCCGGCGGAGGGUGAGGGGGACGCGGGGAAGGUCCGGUGGGGCUGGGCGGUGGACGGAGGUGGCCGGACGGGGGCAAAACAAGGGCUGGGUCGCGCGCGGGAGGUGCUGCAGCGAGCGAUGGACGGCAGGAUGGCGGGACGACGGUGAGCGGCGAGCGCACGGGCGCGACGCGGGCGUGCGGUGUGGUGCGGCGGUGCAGCGGCAGGAUGGGCGGCUGCUGUCUUCAUGCGCUCGCGGCUUCCGCUCAAGCGUGCGGAAGAAGGAAGAAGAAGAAGAAUGAGAGAGAGAGAGAGAGAGAGAGAGAGAGAGAGAGAGAGAGGAUAGACAUUGACUAGUCAAAAGAAAAAAAAGGAGACAGAGAAGGUGGGCGGUGGGGAAUUCGCACGAGGGGGAGGGGAGAGGAGAGAGGAGAGAGAAAGAAAAGAGAGAAAAAGAAAGAAAAGAAAGAAAGAGAGAAAAAGAAAGAAAAGAAAAGAGAGAGAGAGAGAGAGAGAGAGAGAGAGAGAGAGAGAGAGAGAGAGAGAGAGAGAGAGAGAGAGAGAGAGAAAGUAAAAUAACUAAUACUUUUCUUAUUUUCUUUUCUUUUCUCUUUCCCAAUCUAUUUCCUUUCGAGCUUCAAUUUUUCUUCCGAUAAUUUCUUUCUUGAAAUUUCGGACCCGUCAAUAAUUUGAUGAGCAAUGAGACAGGAUCCUAAAAAUAAGAAUUAUGACACGCUUAAAAUUCGAUUCCCGAAAUCGAGUUCAAUUUUGUGGUUAAAAAUCGAUCAGACGUGAUUUUAGCUCAAUCCAACCAAUUAGGUAGCUUUUAGGGAUUUUACAGCUGAUACAUCCCUUAACGGCUUUACCCAAUAGGUUAGUUAACUCGUGAGUGAUCAGCUCAGAGAAAAAGAGCCAUAGGCACGUCGACGAAAUGCCCAUUUCACUUUAUCGAAACAGGGUCGAAUUUCAGGAUGUCACAAUCUUCUUCAUUGAGUUUUGUUCUUGAAUUUUUGGGAGGGGAGAAGCCAGCUGUGCGAGACCGACCAGCCUGACACCUAGCUCGUCCGCCGCUCGCCGCCGUGGUGGUCAUCGCCCAUCCAUGUGCGAAGUCCCAUGCUCCCACUCGCCAUCGUCUAGCUCGCCGCUCUGCCUUUCGUCCGUUGACCCUUUCUCCUCCACCUCUCAUUGCGGCUUUGAAACCCAGCAAUCGAAGAAGCCUUGAAGCAGAAACCCAGCAGCCAUCACAACCGCAGCCGGAGUCGUCACCACCGCGGCCCUCCGCCUCACUCUCUCCCCUUGCUGUUCGACCGUCUCUCCUCUUUCUUUGGUGUGCCUUGAAGGCUUUGAAAACCAGCAACAAACCAGAGAAGCCCGUCUAAAGCCGUACGCCGCCGGAGGAGCCUCCGCCACCACCUGUCACCAUUCAUCCCUACGCACGGCCGUCACUAGUCGCCGCUGCUCCGCACGGCUCCGUCUCCCUCUCGCUUGCCUCUGCGUCGCAGCUGCUACAUCAGCUCGUCCCGAAGCUGUUCAGCCACCUCCAACCACCGUGAGACCCCGCCGUUGGCCGCACGACACCACUGCAACUCCUUCGUCCAUUUCCAACCCAAGCCAACACCGGAUCUACCCUUUCUCGGCCUCAAACCGCAGCAGACAGCAGCAAACAAAAAUGGAUAUUCCAGCCUAAUUUUGGCCGUUUUGGCCGGCUUCCCGACCUCGAAUGCUUGGCCCGCCUUGAGGAAAGUCAAUCCCCACGACGACCCCGUCGUUUUGGUCCGAUCGGUUCGUUAAUCGAGUGAGUUUAGUUCACUAAAUCUUGAUUAGAGGGUUAAUUAUGCAUAGGGAGGUUUAAUUUAUGUUAAGUGUUAUUAGGUGGUUAAUUUAAUUUAUUUAAGUGUAGAUUAUAUUAAGGUGCUUAAUUAACUUAAAGUGUGUUUAAUUUAAGGCUAAGUGAAUGUUUAUAUUAAUAUAAGCCUUGAUGUGACUUAAAGGAAUUUAUUUUUGAUUUAUUUAAGUAUUUCGAAAUUAUUAAAUGAUUUAAUAAUAUAUAUUUAUUCGAAAUUAUUAAAAUAUUAUUAUUUAAUUAGUUUCGGAAUAAAAUUAAUUAUUUAUUAAAUUCCGAAAAUUAUUUUGGGACCUUAUUUUCUCAGAAUUUCAUACUCAUCGCUGUUGUGUAUUCAAAUUAUUAAUUUGAUGAGUGGAUAUUGUAAACUGAGUGUUGAUUUGUGCAAUUGAUUGCCAAAUUGUAAAAUUGAGUGAUGAUUGUGAAAAGUAUAUAAUUUCUUCAGAAAAUCCCGAGUGUCGGGUUUGACACUGAAAAUGGAUUUUAAGUAUUAUAUCAAGCAGUGGGGUUUGAAAAGGAAUGGUGUUAGUUUUUCUGGUUCGAAUUUGAUUGUGUAUCCACACACACAACUGCUUUCUCAAAUGUUUUUAAUAUGAAGAAAAAUGGCUUGGAUCACUAUGUUAAGUGGAAGCACUGAGUGAAAUGCAAAGUGUCCUGGGGUCGAGUAUGAUUUUGUUGUGUGAUAAUUAAGAGGAAGUUGUCCAGGGCUGUUGAGUCAAACUUGCCUUAUAUGGGAUGCCCCUUACAACGAAUGGGGGUGUUUACACUUCGAAGGCUACAAGCCGGCGGCAUCCCGCCGAAACAAUUGCAUCAUUUAGGUUUUAUCGAUGAGGGAACAAAUGAGGAUUUUGUAUAUAUUUGAACAAAGUACUAGUGAAAUUGGCAAAAAAGGUGCACCCAAAUUUGGGAUCAAAUCCCACAAAUGCCCGAUACAAUCAUAUGUAAAGAAAUUAGAAUUUUGAGUUGCUCAAUUGAUUCAAUGAUAUAUAUAGAUGUCCUGCCCACUAUGAAGUGAUUAUUCACCAUGUUAUAUUAUUAAAUAAAGAGCACAAGAGUACUCGUGAGCUUUUCUUCUUUUGAAUUAUUGUGGAGAUAUCAUCCAAAACUUUAGAACAUCUAAUUAAAAUUCUUCACAUACUUUUGAUGACUUAAAAUCAUAAUUUAUUUAUUUUUUUAUCUAAAUGAAAAUCUUGAUUGUCCAACCACUCUUCCAUUGAUUUAAAAGGGUGUCCCGGAGAACAUGCGAACCCCGUGAACGAGUGUAAUGGUAAGUUCUAGAAUAAGCUUUAAAGCUUGAACAUUAGAUUUUGGAAUCCAAACAAACUCAAUGUUACGAGGAUCAGAAAAUUCGAGAGUUGGGGUUUUAAGAUGCCAACACCUAUACAUGUGCCCGGGGAUAUACUCUAUCGUCUAACAAAGUCUUUAAUUUGAUUAAAUCGAGCAAGACAAAAGACUAAUAAGACAAGAGUGCGGCAAAUAUGAAUUAUGGCUUCUGCCAUUGCUUCCCCUCUUUCGUCGAGGCCCAUUCUGACUGUAAGUUAGUAGUGGCUCCUGAGAUUUUUGCUAAACUUUCUAUCUCUUACUAUGGGGCUAAUUCCAAAAAAAAAAAAAAACAUCAAUUUCAGGUUAAGUGAUAAAUCUAGUCUGAACUUUUUUUAUCUCGUAAAAAGACACCAACUUUAAGUGGAGUAACAAAAUUAGCCUAAACUUUUUGUUGUCUUGUCAAAAAGUACUAACUUUAAGUCGAAUGACAAUUCUAGCCUCAACCUUUUUGUAUCUCGUAAAAAAUCACAAAUUUUUACCUUAUUCCAAAUCUGGCCCCUACCGUUAACUCUCUAUCUGAAGUCAACUUUGUUUCAAAAAAGGUUCCAGUCGUGAGGUUGGCAGAUUUCAUCCAUGGGAGGGGAGAAGCUAGCCGUGCAAGACCGACCAGCCUGACGCCCAGCUCGUACACCGCUCGCCGCCGUGGCGGUCAUCGCCCAUCCAUGUGCGAAGCCCCACACUCCCACUCGCCAUCGUCUAGCUCGCCGCUUUGCCCUUCGUCCGUUGACCCUUUCUCCUCCACCUCUCCUUGCGGCUUCGAAACCCAGCAAUCGAAGAAGCCUUGAAGCGGAAACCCAGCAGCCAUCACAGCCACAGCCAGAGUCCUCACCACCGCAGCCCUCCGCCUCACUCUCUCCCCUUGCUGUUGGACCGUCUCUCCUCUUUCUUUGGUGUGCCUUGAAGGCUUCGAAAACCAGCAACAAACCAGAGAAGCCCGUCUGAAGCCGUACGCCGCCGGAGGAGCCUCCGCCACCGCCCGUCACCAUUCAUCCCUACGCACGGCCGUCACUGCUCGCCGCUACUCCGCACAGCUCCGUCUCCCUCUCGCCUGCCUCUGCGUCACAGCUGCUGCAUAAGCUCGUCCCUAAGCUGUUCAGCCACCUCCGACCACCGUGAGACCCCGCCGUCGACCGCACGGCACCACUGCAACUCCUCCGUCCAUUUCCAACCCAAGCCGACACCGAAUCUACCCUUUCUCGGCCUCAAACCGCAGCAGACAGCAGCAAACAAAAAUGGGUAUUCCAGCCUAAUUUUGGUUGUUUUGGCCAACUUCCCGACCCCGUAUGCUUGGCCCGCCUUGAGGAAAGUCAAUCCCCAUGACGACCCCGUCGUUUUGGUCCGAUCGGUUCCUUAAUCGAGUGAGUUUAGUUCACUAAAUCUUGAUUAGAGGGUUAAUUAUGCGUAGGGAGGUUUAAUUUAUGUUAAGUGUUAUUAGGUGGUUAAUUUAAUUUAUUUAAGUGUAGAUUAUAUUAAGGUGCCCCUUACAACGAAUGGGGGUCGCAGUAGAAGCUAGGCCAACUAGACCCAUGCUCCUUUGGGAAUGUUGUCAAUGUAGUGACGAAGCCGCGCUUCCAGGGGGGAGGCAAUGCUUGGCAUUAAUGUCAGUAGAUAGCCGAACUGAGAGUAGGCUAUGCCCUUGUGUGGCAGUGAAUAACAAUUGGAUCGCAUGUUGAGUGUUAUUGACGGGUCGGAUUAUGGGACGGAAUCGUGUGGCAUGGUAUGAGACGUGUCAUAACAAUUUAGUCUUAUAAUCCAGACUCUUGUGGUCGUUCGAAAUGAUAUUGUUGGCGUUCCAGUGGUUUAAGUUUCUAUUACUAUCUAUGAUUGAGUGAUUUGAAACGUGCUAACCUGCAAGAAGGAACUGAGGCGAGGUAAGUUCUCUAUGUGGUGUGGCUAGGCCACCCUUAGGCGUAUUUUCUUUCUAAUAGGGGUUUAGGGGGUUGAACUUGCUGAGACAAUGUCUCACCCUGUUGUGGACCAAAAUUUCAGAACCGUAGAUGGUAGAACCCCCGGAGGCUGAUCACUCAGAAGUGGGAUCAAAGAACAAGUCCGACUAGUGGUCAUAGGACCGAUCCCUUUUGUAAACUCCCACUUUUUGGUAUAUGCGUAAACCCGAGUGUGGUUACCUUUGAAAGCAUGUUUGUUUAUGAAUGAGUUGGUUUCUUGCUUUCCUAUCCCCUGAGUGUUUGUCAGGGGUUUUAUAAUCCGUUCCGCUUGUGCAAUAAUAAAUUAAUGGGGUCAGUGACACUACCCGGGAAUGUCGCAUGUGCAUGACCAUGGUGGGAUGUUGGCACGCUCGAGGUUUGGGGCGUGACAACUUUUCUAUUAUGGACAUUAGAAAUCCCCGUGAAAUAAUUUUAUCUUGUCUAUAUUCGACUUUAUCCUGUCUUAAGUGAGUGUCAAACAUAGGAUAUGAUAAAUCAUAUCUUAUCUCGAAUUUUAUCCUGACUGCCAAAUGUAGCCUAGUUGUUUGUCUCGUGAUAGUAACUUUUAUUUUAACACACCUCACACGUACAUCUUAAUAAUAUUUCCCUCGCGUGUUAUCUUAGUGUUAGCUCUGCUCCUCUUUAGCUCAGGUUUUCUUUUGCAUCAACAUGUUUCCAAUUAUGAUAUAUUAAAUACUUUACACAAAUACCAAUUUUCCACCGUGAGACUUUUUCUAACAUCUUAAUAUUUUUUCUCCCACGUAUGAGCUUGAUGUUAGGAUUGCUUCAUCUUAAUUCAAAUAUCAUUUUGUAUCAAUAUGUCUCGACGUGAAUCUCCAAUGCUUACCUCCAUUCUAGUCCCUUACUCCAAGCUAGACCAUGAAGACCUCAUUGCUAUGCCAUAGCACAAGCUUCUAACCAAGUCUCUUUCGCCAAGCUAAACCAUAAGGCUACUAUACCACAACACACACUUUCAUCUAGUCUCUUUUGCCAGAUCAACCCAUAAGGUUAUUCGAAAACCGCGUUCAUUAUGAGAUUCAUUCCUUAAAAUAUUUACCAAAUACAGAUACACAUAGGUUUCAUUUUCCAACUUUAAUUAUUUAUGGGACUAAGUCUGAGUUUUAUCUUUUCUGCUUUUUAGGGUUUUUUGAAGAGGAAAUGGAUGUGAAUUCGUGGAUUAUUUUUAUUAAUAUAUUAAUGAAGAUAAGUUAUGAGAUAGCUGUUGGAUAUUUUUCCACAAAGUUAACUUGUUGGAGUCCCCAUGCAACGUCGACGAUGUAUAUAUAAAGAGUAAAGUGAUUUGAGUGUGAACACAACGUUGACAAUACGGCUUCUUGAGUGAAUUGUUUGCUUUUUCAGUGUUUUGGGGGGAAAAAAGAUACACAUGAAUAGAUGAAUAAGGAUAUCUGCAUAAUUAAUUAGUUAAUUAUAGUUAGGUUAGAUUGUAUAAACAGUUUUCAUAUAAAAAUACCAUUUAAAAUGCUGCAAAUGGGAUUUGUUGCUUUAAAAAUAAUAGUGAAUACACUUUCUUAUCUUUUAUUUGUGUCAAUUCAAUUUAUUCGGUCAAUUUUGAGUGGCUAACAAUGACAUGGAUAAUUUUUUAAUAAUAUUUUUUUUUUUCGAAUUUUUUAAUUUUGUUUUUCUUUCUCUUUUCUUUUCCUCCUUCUUUUUUCUUCCUUCUUCCUCUGCUUGCUGAUCUCACCAACCAAUGGCAAGGCUUAGCCCCAUCGGCCAUUGGUGGUGAUGGCGAGUGUCACGCCCCGACCCUCAGGCACGCACACAUCCCUUACUUUUGGUCGAUUUUAAAAUGCGAUAUCCCAGGACUAUGUAUCGCCGACCCUUUCAUUUAUAUAUGCACAUGCGGAAGCAAUUAUAAUUCCCCAGACAAUAAAGCAAUGGGAUAGAAAAGCAGGCCAUAUAUUUUCCUUACUAAAAAUUCACAACUACAUCUUUUUACAUGCAUCUCAUAGUAUUCUACAAUACUAUAUAUACGCAACUCUAGUCUAACAUCUAUUCACAUGCAAACAAGGUCUGACAAGACAGGACGGGAUCUCAGUCCUCAUCCGGUUCGUACUCGGGGUUAUCCUCGAGGUCCUCCUCCACGUACUCCUCUUCAGUUUCCUCAUCAGGGACCUCCUCAUCAGAUUCAUGCUCCUUAGGCUCCUCAUCCACGUCCUGAAAUGGUUAUUCAAUAACCACUGAGACAACGUCUCAGCAAGUUCUAUCUCCUAAGACCCGAUUAGUAAACUAAUACACCUUAGGGCUGCCUAUGCACAACAUGAGUUAGAAGACUUACCUUGGCCUCAUAUUUCACCUGCAUAUUAGCACAAAUCAAAUAGACACCCAAGCAAUCACAUCACAGAUCGAAGCAUCGAUCUAAUCGACUUAGCCGAUUACACACCAAGAAGACCAUCCAUGGUCAUCUCCAUUUCAUCAUUCAAUUCGCAACAUCAAAUCAAGGAAAUGAUCAAUCACAUUAAAUCACACUCAGAUCAAAUCAUCAAUCAAUCGACCUAGUCGAUCACAUGUCAUCCAAAUUAUCGCUUGAUCAACCCUUUAUCAUACCGUACUAUCUCAAGAUGAUCUAUAGGAUUAUCGAGCCGGUAUAUCAUACCGUACUGUCUCAAGAUAAUCUGUAGAGUCACCGAGCCGAUAGAUCAUACCGUCCUGUCUCAAGAUGCUCCAUGGAGUCAUCGAGCCAGUAUACACACAAUUUAUCAUACCGUCCUGUCUCCAGAUGCUCCGUAGAGUCAUCGAGCCAGUAUACACACAAUUUAUUAUACCAUCCUAUCUCCAAAUGCUCCAUAGAGUCAUCGAGCCGGUAUACACACAAUUUAUCAUACCGUCCUGUCUCCAGAUGCUCCGUAGAGUCAUCGAGCCAGUAUACACAAAAUUUAUCAUACCAUCCUGUCUCCAAAUGCUCCGUAGAGUCAUCGAGCCGGUAGAUCAUAUCAUUCCAAGCAAAUAAUCAAAUAACCAGUUUUAUCAUUCCCGAUAAAAUGCCAUGAGUGGAUACUCGAUUGGCCUUAGCCAAAACAUAAUAAUUUCCUUUUUAUAAAUUCCACCAUUUUCUGUAGCCCACUCAGAUCCUUUUGGCAUUGUCAACCGAAGCCUAGUUCUUUUUCAAUUAAUAACCAAAGAUUAUUCAAUUAAAGAAUAAUUCAUUCUUUCAAAAAUAAUUCAAUUCAGCAUGAAAUAGGGCUCAAUUAAAUAAACGGACCGCGCCACGACAAUCAGCACGAAAUUCCGGUCAUCGGCCAUCCCGGUUGAAUUUCCGGAAAAUAAAUAAUUAAAUAAUUAAUUUCAAAAAUUAAAUAAAUAAAUACAAUAAAUUCAAUUUAGCACAAUAUAAAACUCAAUUAAAUAAACGAACUUCAGCAUAAAAUCCCAGUCACUGGCCAUCCCAGUUGAAUUUCCGGGAAAUAAAUAAUUAAAUAAUUAAUUUCGAAAAUUAAUAUUUAAUUCCUAAAAAUACCACCUAGGCAUGAAUCACUUAAUUAACACCCGAUAAGGGACGGGAAAAAUCCCAAGAAGCAUCCAAUAAAUACUACAGGCAAUUCUCUAUCUAAUUACACUAAUCAUACAACUAAUAUACAAAGCAAUUAACUAAUAAUCACUAAUAAAUUCUAAUCUAACAACCUAAUUACACUUAAUUAACACUAAUCAACCUUUAAGUAUAAUUAGCGCACUAAGAAGGCAUUAGUGAGUAAAACUCACUCAAAACGACGGGCUCGACACGAGGAUCAACUUUCCUCAAAGCGGGCCGAGCAUCCAGGCUCGGGAAAACGGCCAAAACAGGCCAAAACCCUCUGCGAUACCCAUUUCUGCAACCCUCUAAUUGCUGCUGGUCGAGGUAGAUUCGGGGCCGGUUGAGGCAGCCAAGGGCGGCUGAGGGCGAGGCGAAGCUCCGGCGAGGUCGACGGUGGUCGGAGGUGGUCGGGCGGUGGCCAGAGGCAGCUGAAUGGGACUGAACAAAGGCGGCAGGAGCUGGACAGCAACUCUAGAACAGCGAGCUGGGCAAGAGGGAGAUAAACGGCAACACAAUGGCGAACGGCGGAGCGGCGGCGUGCCGUCGAGCAGGCGGCAGUCCGAUGUGGCUACGGCCCUUUAGGUGACGCUGGUCACUACCUCUGCUUCUGUCGAUCUUUGCACAAAAUAGAGAGGGAGAAAGAAGCGUCGAUGGCGGUUGAAGGGGAAGAGGGAGAGGCGGAGGGCGCGAGCGGAGCAGACGGCGGUUCGGCAGCUCCGGCGUGACUGCAGCUCCUUCAAUCGACAAUGGUUGCUGCUUCUGUUUCUGCUUUUGUUUCUGUUCGAACCAGAGGGAGGAGAGGGGGCGGAGAUGCGCGGACGGCAGCACGGCAGCGGGCUCAGGUGUGCGAGCAGCUUCGGGGCUUGCGGGCGUGCGACGACGACGGCGAGAGGCGGCAACUGCAGCUCAGUCUCCGCUGGUCUUCGGCUCCCAUGGAGUUGCACAACCGAAGAAGAAGAUGGGGAAGAGAGAGAUAGCGACGGGAGAGAGAAGGGAAGAAGAGGAAACCGGUUUCUCUUUUUCUCUCUCACUCUCUCUCUCUCUUAGGUCAUCUACACGUGAGCCACCACCAGCUGUCUCCCACUCUUCAAUUUUUUGACAAAUAUGCCCCCUUCUAGAAGCAUUUAAGUAGUUCAAAAAGUUGGGUUUAUGGGCAUACGAAUUUUGCUAAGUUUUCUUCACAAUUGGACCUUAAUUCCUCUUGAUUCAAAUCAAAUUGACCCCCAUAAUUUCAUUCAACACCUCAUCAUUCCAAUUGGUAUUUUUCCUUACCAAUAUAGCCCACUUGCAUCCCAAUUUCACAAUCCCUGGCUUCAACUGAACGAAAACGGCCCUAUUUAUCCAGUCGAAAUUAGAACCCGAAAAUCUGGAUGUCACAGCGAGGCCACCUUACCAUGGCUAGGCAAGGCCAAGCCUCGCCAAAUCUAGCAGGGCCUCACCUAAGGACGGCAAGGCUAGCCUUGCCAUGGUGAAGUGAGGCUUGCCCUCACCAAUGGCUGAUAGGGUUGAGCCUUGCCAUUGGCGAAUGAGGCUAAACCUCAUCGGCCCUCACCUCUGGCCAGCAAGCUAAAGGAAGAAGGAAGAAAAAAAAAGGAAAAAAUAUAAAAAUUUGAAAAAAAAAUUGAAAAAAAUUAUUAAAAAUUGUCUACGUCAACAUCGCUAAAUGACUGGCAUCAACUGAUGUCUAUGUCAGUGUCGGCCAGCUAAUAUUGACCAAAAGAACUAAAUUGGCAUAAAUGCAAAAGAUUUAAGACUAAAUUGGUAUAAAAAAAAAAGAAAUAAGUUUAAGACUAAAUUGACACAAUUGUAAUAUGUUGAAGACUUUUUUGGUAAUUCUCCCCAAGAAAUUUUCAUCAUCAACGGAUAUAUCACUGUAGAUCUAAGUUAAUAUAGUCAUUAUUCGGUUUUUUCACAUAAAGUUCAUGAGUUACAUUAGUUAUAAAUGGGCAAAAAAAUUAAGUUAAAUCAUGCAACUAUUUCUAUUGCGAACCAAAAGUACAAUAUAAUCAUAAAGAGAGGAGCAAUAUUACAAGGAUGCAUAUGUUUCACAUAAAUAUGUGCUUUCAAAAAUAUUUUCCAACAAAUAAUCGUUUGUUUCGCUUACAAAGAUAAAUGGAUAGAAUUUUUUUUAAUUAUCUACGAAAAUAGCUAGGCAUGACUACUUUUUCUAAACGAUAAAAGAAAAUUUUUUUGAAAAAAAACUUUCCAAAUUAGUCAUCAUCAUAUAAUCAUGUUUUAUUUCGAGUGUUUAUGCUUUGAAGGCUGCAAAGGCUAACACAACCCAACGUCACUGAGAAACAAUUGCAUCGGUACUCAAUAUUUGGACAAAAAAAAUUUAUAGAAAUCAUUUCACCGGAUUAAUACAAUUUCAUUCUCGAUUUCACAUUCAUGAAUUUAUGAUUUAAAUUCAUGAUUCGGUAUCUCAAUUUGCCAAUUAUAGUUAGAGUAAGAGAGGAAAAUUUUAGAGCUAAAUUCCACUUUGUUCCUUAAAUAAAAUUGUAUAUGUCACCCCAAAGAUAAUACUUACCAAUUUUUUUAGUGUAAGAUUUCGAACUUCAUUUAGAAUUAGUCCAAGAAAAUUGUCUAUGAUACCGAAAAUAUGUUGAAUUACCUUGCAGUUAAUCCAUGCUUGACAUGUCUUAGUCUAAGCUCAUAUUUGUGAACAUCGAAUCAUAUUUAGACAAAUCAGAUUUUUGUAGCCAACCCAUUGAUUCUAGCAAACAAAGAAGUUCAUGUUCCAAAAUAAAAACAUAGACAACCCUUUACUAAUGGAAGUUCUGGGGGACUAAUGCCUUUAUUUUGAGAAAAAUCAAAAUAUGUUUGCUCCUAUGGUACACAAAAGUGAAUUAAUUCAAGGUGUUUUUAUGAUCAGUGAAUAUGAUAAAGCAUUAACUGUUGUUGAUGAUGAGUAUAGUCUAUUAAAUGUUUAUUCCAGACAAUAGCAAAUGCGAUAUAAACGCAUUGCUAAGCCUCUUCGGUUUUGUCAAAUAAAGUUCAUGAGUUAUAUUCGUUAUACAAGCCAAAAAAAUUAAAUUAACUUGUGCAAUUAUUUCCUACGCAAAAUGAAAAUACAGCAAUAUCACGAAGAGAGGAGCAAUAUCUCACAAAAAUAUCAUCAUAUAAUCAUAUUGUAUUUCAUGUUAAGGACAUAAGCAUGAAUCAAAACAAGUAGAUAUUCUUAUAUGGCUUCAUCAAGGAGUGCUUAUGCCUCGAAGGUGGUAACGACGACUGCAACCUGGCGGCGUCCUGUCAAAACAAUUGCAUUCAGUUUCACUGCAAAGUCCACAGCCUGAGGCACAGAUGACGCGACAAUCCUCAUUCUUGUUGCACUCACCAGGCACGGCCAUUGAAGAUGGCAAACUUGCCCCCAGCAAAAUGAAUACAAGCACGAGCACAAGAGCUAACUUGGAUGAUGAUCUCCUCUUCAUCACGAUUGAUCGGCUCUACUGCAGCUGUAGUAUUCACCCGAAUGAAUCUUUGCGUUGUAGGACGGUGCAUUUUAUAGGCGUCAUUGAGGGAAAAAGUAAUUACAUUUUAUUUUUUCCAUAUCUAGUCAUUUAUGGAAAUUAGAUCAAAGUUAGAACCUUUCAUCAUUUAGGUUCUCAUGACAAGGAAACAAAUGUGAAUGUUGUGGAUCUUUUAACAAAGUAUUAGUGAAAUUGUGGCAAAAACGGUACACACAUAUUUGGUAAAAAUUAUAAUUAUUUUGCUGAAAUUUUGCAAUUCGAUUUUCGUGAAUUUGUCCUCUAAGUAUACGAUUCGGUAUCUCGAUUUGACAAUUAUAGUUAGAGUUAGAGGGGAAAAUUUCAGGGAUUUAAGCCACAUAGAGUUCCCUAUAAAAUUGCGUAUGGUACCCCAAAGAUAAUAUUUACCUAUUUUGUUUUAGUAUAAGAUUUCGAACUUUAUUUAUAGUUAGUCUAUGAAAAUUGUCUAUGAUACUGAAAAUAUAUCGAAUGACCUUGCAUGUAAUCUAUGCUCUUGAUGUUUCAACCUCUAAUAUGUUCAUAUUUGUGGGAUCAAAUCCCUCAAAUGACAGGCCACAUCUAUGUUGUGACAUCCUGAAAUUCGACCCCGUUUCGAUAAAGUGAAAUGGGCAUUUCGUCGACGUGCCUAUGGCCCUUUUUCUCUGAGCUGAUCACUCAUGAGUUAACUAACCUAUUGGGUGAAGCCCUUAAGGGAUGUAUCAGCUGUAAAAUCCCUAAAAGCUACCUAAAUGAUUGGAUUGGAUUAAAAUCACGUCUGAUCGAUUUUUAACCACGAAAUUGAACUCGAUUUCGGGAAUCGAAUUUUAAGCGCGCCAUAAUUCUUAUUUUUAGGAUCCUGUCUCAUUGCUCGUCAAUUUAUUGACGGGUCCGGAAUUUCAAUAAAGAAAUUAUCGAAAGAAAAUUGAAGACCAAAAAGAAAAUAGAAAGGAAAAGGAAAAGAGAAAAGGAAAAUUGAAUUAAAUAUCUAUGUAUUUUCUUUUCCUUUUUCCUCUCUCUCCCUCUCUUUUCUUUUCUUUCUUUUUCUUUCUUUUUCUUUCUUUUCUCUCUCUCCUCUCCCCUUUUACCCCCUUCGUGCGAUUCCCCCUCCCCAACCGACUCUCUCUCUCUCUCUCUCUCUCUUCUUUGACUGGUCAAUGCAUAUCCUCUCCUCUCUCUUCUCUCUCUUCUCUCUCUCUUCUUCCCCCCACGUGACCGCUUUCUUCCUCUUUCUUCUCUCCUGUUCGUGCGAACAAAAACCAGAAGCUUGACCAGAAGCUGCAGCUCCGUCGCCGCCCGUCCCGCCGACGCACCGCCGCUCGCACGCCCGCGACGGCCGUUCGCUCGACGCCGUGCGUGCGCAGGCGUGCUUCCCCGAGCAAAUCCGCUCGGCCUAGCCUUGUUUCGCCCCUGUUCCGCACCGACCAGCCCCCGUCCGGCCACCUCCGGCCACCGCCCAGCCCCGCCGGACCUCCCUCGAGUCCCCCUCGCCCUCCGCCGGCUUCUUCUCCCCGCCCUAGCCGCCGGAGCAGCCUCGAUUAGCCCCGUCCAGCAAACCCGCGAGUGGGUUUCCAGCUAGUUCAAGGCCAUUUUCGGCCGUUUCCGGGCCCCGAACCCGAGCCGUGUUUUGGGAAGUUUCGUUCCUCGCGUCGCCGCCGUCGGAUUGAUCCAAUUUGCGCGCGAUUUGGUGAGUAAUCUCACUAAUCCUGGAUUAGUUGGCUAAUUAUGCUUAAGGUUGGUUUAGAUUUAAUUAAUUAUGUUUAGGUUGUUAGAUUAGAAUAAAUUAGCAAUUAUUAGUCAAUCGUGAUGCGAUUUAGAUAAAUUGAUUGCGCAAUUAACAAGUAGACGUGGUCUACUAAUUAUUGGAAGUGUCUUGGGAUUUUUCCCGACCCUUAGUGGGCUCCAAUUAGGCUUUUCGGGCCUAAGUGGAUUUUUUUUUGUAUUUAAAUAUUAAUUUUCGGAAUUAAAUUAAAUAAUUAUUUAUUUUCCGAAAAUUCAACUGAGAUGGGCCGGAACCGGAAAAUUAUGCUGAUGACCGUUGUGAAGUCCGUUUAUUUAAUCGGGCUUUAUUUUGAGCUAAAUUGAAUUUUUAAUAUUAAUUAUUUAAUUUUCGAAAUUAAUAAAUUAACUAAUUAUUUUUCGGAAAUUAAGAUUUUGAUGGCCGACGACCGAAAUCUCGUGCUGAUCGUCGUGGCGCAAUCCGUUUAUUUAUUUGAGCCCCACGUUGUAUGGAAUUGAAUAAAUUGUGACAUUUUAGGGAUUUACCCUAAAUUGAUUUGGAAUUGAUUGAGAUUGAAUGAUUGAUUGGUAGAUGGCCGAGUAUGUUUGUUUAGCAUUUAUAAUGCUUUGAUUGAGUUGUACAGUGGAUGGAGUUAUGAGAGAAUUGUAAAUACUCUGGAAUUGAACCAAUCAGACACAGUGUAUGGACCUACGUGGUUCGGUGAUUGGGACAUCACUAGCGAAAACGGCGCCUUAAAGAACGCACGUAUCGGUCUAGUACAUACAUUAUUGUGGACCUACGUGGUUUAGUAAUUGGGAUAUCACUGGCGGAAACGGCGCCUUAAAGAACGCACGUAUCGGUCUAGUACUCAUAUUGUUAUAGGCAUAUAUGGUUCGGUGAUUAAGGACAUCACUGGCGAAAAUGGCGCCUUAAAGAACGCGUACACUUGUCUAUUAAAUACAUUGUUAUAGGCAUGUGUGGUUCGGUGAUUUGGGAUAUCACUAGCGAAAACGGCGUCUUAAAGAACGCACACAGUUGUCUAUUGAGUACAUGGUUAUAGGCAUGCGUGGUUCGGUGACUAAGGAUGUCACUGGCGAAAACGGCGCCUUAAAGAAGGCACGCAAUUGUCUAGUGGAUAAGUCACUUGGUGAACGUGACGCCCGAGAGUAUUGACCUAGAAUGGUCCGUCUGACAUGUAAUCGACUAGAUCGAUUGAUCAUUGCUUUGAUUUGAUGUUGUGAAUUAAUUGACUGAAUGGAAAUGACCGUGAGUGGUCUUGUUGGCAUAUAAUCGACUAGGUCGAUUUGAUCGAUGCUUCCAUCGAUGAUAAGACUGUUUGGGUGCCUAUGUUAAAUUGUACUGACUUGCAGGUGGGAUCUGAGGCCAAGGUAAGUCCUCUGCCCUGUGCGUAUUUAGGCAGCCUGUAGUAUAAUAGUUUGCUAAUCGGGCUUAGUGGGGUAGAACUUGCUGAGACGUAGUCUCAUCCCAGUUUGGGGAAACCAUUUCAGGACCCCGCUAAGGAGCUGAGGAGGAGAAGUCGGAGAAGGAUUUUUGGGAGAAGAAGAUAAUCCUGAGAGAGGCAUUGAGUAUGGCCCAGAUGGACUGAGAUGUUAUCUUCUUCAAUAUAUUCAUUUUGAUGUGAAUAGAGUUUAGAAUAAAAAGUUGUGAAGUGUUCUGGUUUGUGUUUUGUAUAAAAGUUUGGUUAUAAGUUUCGAUAUGAAAAAUAUAGGCCUGCUUUUCUAUCCCAUCGUUUUAUUGUCUGGGGAUUUUAACUGCUUCCGCAUGUGCUUAAUAAAAGAAAGGGUCGGUGAUACAUUAUCCUGGGAUAUCGCAUUAUAAAAUCGACCAAGGUAGAAGGAUGUGUGCGUGCCCGAGGAUUGGGGCGUGACAUCCCCUUUUUGUGGUAUCAGAGCGAGGUUGAAGAUUGGAGUGAUAAGGAGCGUUGACCAUGGGAUAGUUAGUAGGAAAGACCUUUAAAUUCAUGCUGGUGCAUGUCUGUGUUAGCUGAGUGCUAAAAUUGUUUGUUGUUUGUAUCGCUCUGUUUCUAAUUUGAUAUUGAAUUGGAAAUAGGUGUUAGUUGAGUAAAGCUACACCAUGAGCGAUCAAGAGCCGAGAACUCCUGCAAAGAGGACCAGUAGGGCCGUUAUUCGGGGUAGAGCUCCGACUCGUGUCGGAACUCGAGGCGGACGUGGUCGAGCGCCAGCAUAGGCUAGCGCGAGUGGAGUGAAUCCACCUGUCGAAGAUGUCGGGGUAGCGGCCCCUAAUGAUCCCAGAGUGGAUGGGAUCUUGCAUGUUCUAGAAGCGAUGGGUACCAGAAUGGAUCAGCAAGCUGCGACAGUUGAAGCCGCCGCUCAGGCCGUCGCUAAUGCCGUAGCUGCCGCCGCUGCUCAAGCCGCUCCUGCCGCCGCACCUACAGUCGCACCUGCCAUAGUUCCUCCUAAAGUGAUCGUCGAAGGUUAGCCAGGAAUAGUGGUUGCAGAAAGACCAAUAAGUAAGUUAGUGGGGCACUUUCGAAGGCUAGAUCCACCAAGGUUUAGGGGUACUGGAGACCCUGAGGCUGCAUCACAAUGGGUACAAGAUAUGGAGAAAGCGUUCGCAGUUUUGAUGUGUAAUGAAGAAGAAAAGGUGAUACUAGCUGUGUAUCAACUUCAAGAUAAUGCCAACAUUUGGUGGAAAGCCACCAAGGAUGCUGUGUUCCCAGAAGGAGUACCAAGGGUGUGGAACACCUUCCUCAGAGCUUUUAAUGAUCAAUAUUUUUCGAGUGCUGCCCGAGAGUUGAAGAUGGAGGAGUUCCAACGCCUUCGCCAAGGAUCGAUGAUUGUCGAUCAAUAUGGGGUUAAGUUCGCUGAACUAUCUCAGUAUGCCCCAAGAUUGAUCGAGGACCCUGAGGAGAAAGCUCGGAGAUUUAGGGAAGGGUUGUGACAUCCUGAAAUUCGACCCCGUUUCGAUAAAGUGAAAUGGGCAUUUCGUCGACGUGCCUAUGGCCCUUUUUCUCUGACCUGAUCACUCACGAGUUAACUAACCUAUUGGGUGAAGCCCUUAAGGGAUGUAUCAGCUGUAAAAUCCCUAAAAGCUACCUAAUUGGUUGGAUUGGACUAAAAUUAAGUCGAAUCGAUUUUUAACCACGAAAUUGAACUCGAUUUCGAGAAUCGAAUUUUAAGGGCGCCAUAAUUCUUAUUUUUAGGACCCUGUCUCAUCGCUCGUCAAUUUAUUGACGGGUCCGAAAUUUCAAUAAAGAAAUUAUCGGAAGAAAAUUGAAGACCAAAAAGAAAAUAGAAAGGAAAAGGAAAAGAGAAAAGGAAAAUUGAAUUAAAUAUCUAUGUAUUUUCUUUUCCUUUUUCCUCUCUCUCCCUCUCUUUUCUUUUCUUUCUUUUUCUUUCUUUUACUUUCUUUUCUCUCUCUCCUCUCCCCUUUUCCCCCCUUCGUGCGAUUCCCCCUCCCCAACCGACUCUCUCUCUCUCUCUCUCUUCUUUGACUGGUCAAUGCAUAUCCUCUCCUCUCUCUUCUCUCUCUUCUCUCUCUCUUCUUCCCCCCACGUGACUGCUUUCUUCCUCUUUCUUCUCUCCUGUUCGUGCGAACAAAAACCAAAAGCUUGACCAGAAGCUGCAGCUCUGUCGCCGCCCGUCCCGCCGCCGCAUCGCCGCUCGCACGCUCGCGACGGCCGCUCGCCUGACGCCGCGCGCGCCCAGGCGUGCUUCCCCGAGUGAAUCCGCUCAGCCCAGCCCUGUUUUGCCCCUGUUCCGCCUCGACCACCCCGUCUGGCCACCUCCGGCCACCACCCAGCCCCGUCGGACCUCCCUCGCGUCCCCCUCGCCCUCCGCCGGCUUCCCCUUGCCGCCCUAGCCGCCGGAGCAACCUCAAUCAGCCCCGUCCAGCAAACCCGCGAGUGGGUUUCCAGCUGGUUCAAGGCCAUUUUGGGCCGUUUCCGGGCCCCGAACCCGAGCCAUGCUUUGGGAAGUUUUGUUCCUCGCGCCGCCGCCGUCGGAUUGAUCCAAUUUGCGCGCGAUUUGGUGAGUAAUCUCACUAAUCCUGGAUUAGUUGGCUAAUUAUGCUUAAGGUUGGUUUAGAUUUAAUUAAUUAUGUUUAGGUUGUUAUAUUAGAAUAAAUUAGCAAUUAUUAGUCAAUUGUGAUGCGAUUUAGAUAAAUUGAUUGCGCAAUUAACAAGUAGACGUGGUCUACUAAUUAUUGGAAGUGUCUCGGGAUUUUUCCCGACCCUUAGUGGGCUCCAAUUAGGAUUUUCGGGCCUAAGUGGAUUUUUUUUGUAUUUAAAUAUUAAUUUUCGGAAUUAAAUUAAAUAAUUAUUUAUUUUCCGAAAAUUCAACUGAGAUGGUCCGGAACCGAAAAAUUAUGCUGAUGACCGUGGUGAAGUUCGUUUAUUUAAUCGGGCUUUAUUUUGAGCUAAAUUGAAUUUUUAAUAUUAAUUAUUUAAUUUUCGAAAUUAAUAAAUUAAUUAAUUAUUUUUCGGAAAUUAAUAUUUUGAUGGCCGACGACCGAAGUCUCCUGCUGAUCGUCGUGGCCCAAUCCGUUUAUUUAUUUGAGCCCCACGUUGUAUGGAAUUGAAUAAAUUGUGACAUUUUAGGGAUUUACCCUAAAUUGAUUUGGAAUUGAUUGAGAUUGAAUGAUUGAUUGGUAGAUGGCCGAGUAUGUUUGUUUAGCAUUUAUAAUGCUUUGAUUGAGUUGUACAGUGGAUAGAGUUAUGAGAGAAUUGGAAAUACUCUGGAAUUGAACCAAUCAGACACAGUGUAUGGACCUACGUGGUUCGGUGAUUGGGAUAUCACUGGCGAAAACGGUGCCUUAAAGAACGCACGUAUCGGUCUAGUACAUACAUUAUUGUGGACCUACGUGGUUCGGUAAUUGGGAUAUCACUGGCGAAAACGGCGCCUUAAAGAACGCACGUAUCGGUCUAGUACUCAUAUUGUUAUAGGCAUGUAUGGUUCGGUGAUUAAGGACAUCACUGGCGAAAACGGCGCCUUAAAGAACGCGUACACAUUGUUAUAGGCAUGUGUGGUUCGGUGAUUUGGGAUAUCACUAGUGAAAACGGCGUCUUAAAGAACGCACACAGUUGUCUAUUGAGUACAUGGUUAUAGGCAUGCGUGGUUUGGUGACUAAGGAUGUCACUGGCGAAAACGGCGCCUUAAAGAAGGCACGCAAUUGUCUAGUGGGUAAGUCACUUGGUGAACGUGACGCCCGAGAGUAUUGACCUAGAAUGGUCCGUCUGACAUGUAAUCGACUAGAUCGAUUGAUCAUUGCUUUGAUUUGAUGUUGUGAAUUAAUUGACUGAAUGGAAAUGACCGUGAGUGGUCUUGUUGGCAUAUAAUCGACUAGGUCGAUUUGAUCGAUGCUUCCAUUGAUGAUAUGACUGUUUGGGUGCCUAUGUUAAAUUGUACUGACUUGCAGGUGGGAUCUGAGGCCACGGUAAGUCCUCUGCCCUGUGCGUAUUUAGGCAGCCUGUAGUAUAAUAGUUUGCUAAUCGGGCUUAGUGGGGUAGAACUUGCUGAGACGUAGUCUCAUCCCAGUUUGGGGAAACCAUUUCAGGACCCCACUAAGGAGCUGAGGAGGAGAAGUCGAAGAAGGAUUUUUGGGAGAAGAAGAUAAUCCUGAGAGAGGCAUUGAGUACGGGCCAGAUGGACUGAGAUACUAUCUUCUUUGAUAUCUUCAUUUUGAUGUGAAUAGAGUUUAGAAUAAAAAGUUGUGAAGUGUUCUGGUUUGUGUUUUGUAUAAAAGUUUGGUUAUAAGUUUCGAUAUGAAAUAUAUUGCCCUGCUUUUCUGUCCCAUCGUUUUAUUGUCUGAGGAUUUUAACUGCUUCCGCAUGUGCUUAAUAAAAGAAAGGGUCGGCGAUACAUUGUCCUGGGAUAUCCCAUUAUAAAAUCAACCAAGGUAGAAGGAUGUGUGCGUGCCCGAGGAUGCGUGACAUAUGUAAUUAAAGAAAUUGUAAUUUUAAGCUACUUAGUUGAUUCCAUGGUGUAUAUAGAGGUCAUGCCCAUUAUGAAGUGAUUAUAUUCACCGUGUUAAAUUAUUAAAUAAAGAGCACUGUGGUACUCGUGAGCUUUUUUUGAAAAAAAACUGUCCAAAUUAGUCAUCUUCAUAUAAUCAUGUUUUAUUUCGAGUGUUUAUGCUUUGAAGGUUGCAAAGGCUAACACAACCCAACGUCACUAAGGAACAAUUGCAUCGGUACUCACAUAUUUGGACAAAAAAAAUUAUAGAAAUCAUUUCACCGGAUUAAUACAAUUUGAUUCUCGAUUUCACAUUCAUGAAUUUAUGAUUUAAAUUCAUGAUUCGGUAUCUCAAUUUGCCAAUUAUAGUUAGAGUAAGAGAGGAAAAUUUUAGGGCUAAAUUCCACUUUGUUCCUUAAAUAAAAUUGUAUAUGUCACCCCAAAGAUAAUACUUACCAAUUUUUUUAGUGUAAGAUUUCGAACUUCAUUUAGAAUUAGUCCAAGAAAAUUAUCUAUGAUACCGAAAAUAUGUUGAAUUGCCUUGCAGUUAAUCCAUGCUUGACAUGUCUUAGUCUAAGCUCAUAUUUGUGAACAUCGAAUCAUAUUUAGACAAAUCAGAUUUUUGUAGCCAACCCAUUGAUUCUAGCAACCAAAGAAGUUCAUGUUCCAAAAUAAAAACAUAGACAAUCCUUUACUAAUGGAAGUUCUUGGGGACUAAUGCCUUUAUUUUGAGAAAAAUCAAAAUAUGUUUGCUCCUAUGGUACACAAAAGUGAAUUAAUUCAAGGUGUUUUUAUGAUCAGUGAAUAUGAUAAAGCAUUAACUGUUGUUGAUGAUGAGUAUAGUCUAUUAAAUGUUUAUUCCAGACAAUAGCAAAUGCGAUAUAAACGCAUUGCUAAGCCUCUUCGGUUUUGUCAAAUAAAGUUCAUGAGUUAUAUUCGUUAUACAAGCCAAAAAAAUUAAAUUAACUUGUGCAAUUAUUUCCUACGCAAAAUGAAAAUACAGCAAUAUCACGAAGAGAGGAGCAAUAUCUCACAAAAAUAUCAUCAUAUAAUCAUAUUGUAUUUCAUGUUAAGGACAUAAGCAUGAAUCAAAACAAGUAGAUAUUCUUAUAUGGCUUCAUCAAGGAGUGUUUAUGCCUCGAAGGUGGUAACGGCGACUGCAACCUGGCGGCGUCCCGUCAAAACAAUUGCAUUCAGUUUCACUGCAAAGUCCACAGCCUGAGGCACAGAUGACGCGACAAUCCUCAUUCUUGCUACACUCACCAGGCACGGCCAUUGAAGAUGGCAAACUUGCCCCCAGCAAAAUGAAUACAAGCACGAGCACAAGAGCUAACUUGGAUGAUGAUCUCCUCUUCAUCACGAUCGAUCGGCUCUACUGUAGCUGUAGUAUUCACCCGAAUGAAUCUUUGCGUUGUAGGACGGUGCAUUUUAUAGGCGUCAUUGAGGGAAAAAGUAAUUACAUUUUAUUUUUUCAUAUCUAGUCAUUUAUGGAAAUUAGAUCAAAGUUAGAACCUUUCGUCAUUUAGGUUCUCAUGACAAGGAAACAAAUGUGAAUGUUGUGGAUCUUUUAACAAAGUAUUAGUGAAAUUGUGGCAAAAACGGUACACACAUAUUUGGUAAAAAUUAUAAUUAUUUUGCUGAAAUUUUGCAAUUCGAUUUUCGUGAAUUUGUCGUCUAAGUAUACGAUUCGGUAUCUCGAUUUGACAAUUAUAGUUAGAGUUAGAGGGGAAAAUUUCAGGGAUUUAAGCCACAUAGAGUUCCCUAUAAAAUUGCGUAUGGUACCCCAAAGAUAAUAUUUACCUAUUUUGUUUUAGUAUAAGAUUUCGAACUUUAUUUAUAGUUAGUCUAUGAAAAUUGUCUAUGAUACUGAAAAUAUAUCGAAUGACCUUGCAUGUAAUCUAUGCUCUUGAUGUUUCAACCUCUAAUAUGUUCAUAUUUGUGGGAUCAAAUCCCUCAAAUGACCGGCCACAUCUAUGUAAUUAAAGAAAUUGUAAUUUUAAGCUACUUAGUUGAUUCCAUGGUGUAUAUAGAGGUCAUGCCCAUUAUGAAGUGAUUAUAUUCACCGUGUUAAAUUAUUAAAUAAAGAGCACUGUGGUACUCGUGAGCUUUUCUUCUGCUGAAUUAUUAUGGGGAUAUAUCAUCCAGAACUUUAGAGUAUCUAAUUAAAAUUCUUCUCAUUCUUUUGAUAACUUAAAAUUUUGAUUUUUUUUUUAUCUGACUGAAAAUCUUCAUUGUCCAACCUAUCUUCCAUUUAUUAACCUCAUCCUAUGCUAAGGGUGUCCCGGAGAACAUGCAUGCAAACCCUACGAACCAGCAUAAUGGUAAGUUCUAGAAUAAGCCUUCAAGUUAGCACAUUUGAUUUUAGAAUCUAAAAUUUCAAAAUAUGUGAGUAAACGAUCAAAAUAUAUAUGAUGCUGAGCUUAUAUUACAACCCUGUAUUAUGUGCAGGAUACUUAGUUGAAAAGUAAAUGGUACCUCUUUGUAAUAUUGAUGACGAAAAUAUAUAAUUGCUUUUUUAUCUGAGAUUAUUUUUCUCUUAUUAGAAUUUUCGCAUCCGAAAAAACCCUAACUAAUUAGCGAACUUUAACCCCAUCCGAAAAAAGAAAGUCUCCAAACCCAACACCCCCGUGCCCCCAACCCCUCCCCCCCCUUCUUUCUUUCCCGAGGGCUACGUCCAAUGGCGGCACCGCUUUAUAAGAGGGUAGCAAUCAAACAGUAAGUAUUCGAUCAUUAGUAUAAUAUUCUAAGUAUUAAUCAAUUGACCCCACUAAUCUCAAAGUUUUGGCUCAAAUUUGCAAAAGUCUUACCAUAAAUAUUCUAAGCAUGGACUAAUUCGAAAACCCAAGAAAUUCUAUGUUAUGACGAUUGUUACUAGGGUAAGCAUGUUGGACCGUGCAAAUCAAGAAUCGCCUAGACCGGACCAAAUUGUUAACAGGGGGAUCAGUCCAGUUCCCGAUUCCAUAAGAUGGAACCAAUGAUUUUCGGUCUGUUUCCUGAUUCCCCAGGAGGCAAGGGCGGGGGAAAGGAGAGAACCGAACCAGGCUGACUCUUUUUUGAAAAAAAAAAUAUUUUUUAAUUUCUUGAAAAUAGUAGCAAAACCAUAAAAUAGUAUAAACUCUAGUAUUUUUUAAAUUUUUUGAAUUUUUUUGGCUAAGUGAUAGGCUUCACGGAACCAGUCCGGACCGGAUAGAGAACCGAUCAUCCCUCCUUGGUACAUUUUUAAACAACAAAAUUGACCUCACUAAAUGUAACAAUGAGAAAGUCAAACUUUAAAGGAAGUUGAUCUAAUCACUUUCACGAAAAUAAACUUAGUCAAAGUUGAAAUUGUAGUUCUCAAGUUUUCGUCCUCGCAUGACAGUGAUUUUCACUAUAUUUGAAGGAUAUUCUUAAGUUAAUUUUUAUUAACGAAUGUCUCAAGGCACUUUUUUUGCAAUCACACAUAAUAUAGAUAGAUAGAUACAUACAUACAUACAUAUAUAUAUAUUACAUAUCUCAUGGUAUGUGUAAUUGAUGAAGUAAAAAUUCAAACGUUUGUUUUUAUGUGUAUUUACCUGAAGUCAAUCGAUAACAAAUAACAAGACCCUUUUUUUUAAUUAGCUGUUGGGCGAAUUAUGUCAAUGAUGUUAUUGCCUAUUGGGCGAUCAAAUUCAAUCACAUGCAAGAGUUAUGACCUAAAUGGUUUUGCAAGUUUUGCGAACCGACACUUAUCUUGCUUGAAAUUGGACUAGGUCUCCAAGUCUCGGCCAUCCACUUACGGGCAUGCAUGGUUGAAUUUUUAUACUAGCAGUUGGCAGUUACAUAUAAUGCCUAUGCGAGUGGCUACAAAAUUAUACUUCAUGUAUAAGGAAGCUAUCUAUUUCCAAAAGUAACUUCUCGUUGAUGAACCAAAAUUUGUUCUGCUCUCAUCAUAUGUCCACACGGAUUUUCUUAACGCCGUAUUAUCCACGUCUCUAAUAUAGUUUUUUAACAUUCAUGUAACUCCAUUUAUGUGCAUGUAAAGUUACACAACUUUAAAUCGCUAAGAUUUAGAUAGAAUGCAUAAUAGAUAAAAGAUCUUUGAUUUCACCCACAAAGCACUUUUUUCUACCAAAUUAUUCCCUCUUCCAUUUAAUGAGCUCGUGGCAAAUCUUUUCAAACAAGACCUGUUUUACAGGUUUUAAAGUAAUAUCAAAAUUAAGAAUAUCACUUAUUAAUUAUAUAUAACAACACUUCGCAGUAUAAUUUCAGAACAACUAUAGUUCAGGCACACCUAUAACCAACGGGCUCAACAUAUUAAACAAAUGCACGGCGUAAUGUUAUCUUGUUAAAGAUUAUAAAAUUAAUAUCCGUUUAUUUUACAAUGAAAGAAAUUCAGAUUAGCUCAGGAUGAGUAUUGACAGUCGAUUAUCAAUCGGUGGCAUCAAUUCAAUAGGGUGCAGAUUAUCAUCUCUUUUUCUUCAAAUUUUAAAAGUAUGACCUCUACUUACUAAUCAAUCAUGAAAAUUUUUAUAUCAAACUUAAAAGUUCUCUAUGAGUGAUCUUCGGAAUGAUUUAAGUAUGAAUCAAAGUAAUUAGAUAAUCUCAUAUGGCUUCAUCAAGGACUGUUUCUGCUUUGAAGGCGGUAACAGCUAAUGCAACUCAGCAGCAUUGCCGAGAAACAAUUGCAUUGAUUCUUGAUGCAAAGUAUACACGUAUUUGGCAAAAAAUUUUAUUGAAAUUGUGUUACCGCAUUUAUACAAUUGGAUUCUCGAUUUGGUAUUCGUGAAUUUAUGAUUUAAAUUCACGAUUCAGUAUCUGGAUUUGCCAAUUUUAGUUAGAGUUAGAGAGGGAAACUCUAGAGCUAUACUCCACUUUGUUCCCGAAGUGAAAUUGUGUAUGAUCCCCCAAAAGAUAAUACUAAUCUAUUCUUUCAGUAUAAGACUUGGAACUUUUUUUAUACUUAGUCCAAGACAAUGGUCUAUGAUAGAUACCGAAAAUAUGUUGAAUGACCUUGCAAGUAAUCCAUGCUUUAGAUGUUUCAAUCUCUAAUAAGCUCAUAUUUGUGAACACGUAAAAUCUAUGUAAUUAGAGAAAUCAGAAUUUGAGAGCCAAUCGAUUGAUUCCAACGAACAAAAUUUUAGUGUUCCAACAUCAAAACAUUGCCAAUCCUUCACUAAUGGAAAUUCUUCAGGACUAAUUUCGUGCAAAAUUGAAAUAUGCUUGCUCGUAAGGUUUACAAAAGUGAAUUAACGCGAGAAGUUUUUAUCAUCGAUAAAUAUGAUUAAGAAUAGGCACUGUUCUUGAAAAUGAGUAUAUUUUUCAGCGACGUUGUUCUUUGGUUUUGUCAAAUAAAGUUCAUCAAUUUUCUUAGCUAUACAUGCCGAGAAAAAUAAGUUAACUGGGCAACCACUUAUAAGCAAUACAAAAGUACAGCAAUAUCAUGAAGAGAGAAGCCAUCUUUCACGAAAAAAUCAUCAUAUAAUCAUGUUUUAUUUCAUAAUAGGGACAUAAGUAUGAAUCAAAGUAAGUAGAUAUUCUCAUUUGACUUCAUCAGGGAGUGUUUACACUUCGAACGCUGCAACCCGGCGGCGUCCCGUCGAAACAAUUGCAUUCAGUUUUGCUGCAAAGCCCACAGCCUGAGGCAAAUAACGCGACAAUCCUCAUUCUUGUUGCACUCACCAGGCACGGCCAUUGAAGAUGGCAAACUUGCCCUUUGCAAAACGAACACGAGCAUGAGCACGAGAGCUAACUUGGAUGAUGAUCUCCUCUCCAUCACGAUCGAUCAGCCCUGUUGCAGAUGUAUUAUUCACUCGAAUGAAUCUUUGCGUUGUAAGGUGGUGUAUUUUAUAGGCGUCAUUGAGGGGGAAAACAGUAAUUACAUUUUAUUUUUCACAUUUAUUCAUUUAUGGAAAUCAAAUCUGAGUUAGAACAUUUCAUCAUUUAGGUUUUAUCGAUGAGGGAACAAAUGAGGAUUUUGUAUAUAUUUGAACAAAGUACUAGUGAAAUUGGCAAAAAAGGUGCACCCAAAUUUGGGAAAUUUCAUUAUUUUACUGUAUUUUUACAAUUUGGUUCUCGGGAAUUUGUGAUCUAAAUGUAGAAUUCGGUAUGUUAGAGUUAGAGAGAGAAAUUUCAAGGAUAUAAGCUGUGACAUCCCGAAUUUCGGCCCCGUCCGGAAUAUGUGAAAUGGACAUUAUUAGAAGAAUUUUGGGUCACCAAAUUUAAGUAAAUGGUGAGGAGAUGGUGCAAAUUCGUAGGGAUGAUGGACUACCGCAGUUCGGCCCUCAAAUUGACUUCAUUUGGUGUGGAAUUGUGGAGAAAUUGGCCCCUUGAGUGACCCAUUGGAAAGGUUGGCUGAAAAUGGGCAUAAUUAUCUUCAACAAAAUGAUUUAAUUUGGGGUGAAAUUGGAGCAAAUUCUCCAUUGGUUGGGCUAAAGACUUUUAUGGUUUGUUAAUCAUGAAUGAGAUAUUUUGUUUUGACUUGACUACCUCUCAUUCGGCUUCUCCAGCAAGUCUCGCCGACUUCAUCUCCACGGCACCUCUCUCAUUCUUAUCUCUUCUAUUUCUACUUUCCUCUAUUCUCUUUCCUUUCCAUCGAUCCAGACCGAAACAGCUCCGUCCUCUCUCCUCUAUCCCUCUACCACCUUGCUGUUUCUUUUACAUGCACUCAACACCACCGAAUUCCCCAUUCAGCCGACCCACCGAGUUCUCCUCUGUGCACCAACCUGCUCCACUUUCGUUUGUCCAGCCGAGUCAAUGAAAUCAGCAAGCUUCCCUUCGUUGACUCCUCCUGCCAUCUACCGCACGUCACCCGCAACUCAGACGAAGCUGCUUCUUCGUCCGUGUCUUCAGCUCAUGGAUUUCAGCCAGCUUGAAGAAGCCAGCGAAUCCAGCUUCGAUCUUCUCCCGUCAACGUUCGGCUUCGGCGUCUCCGUCCAUUAAGCCACGCGAACAGCAGCCACCACCACCGGUUCCUUUAUGCUUCCAUCUUCAACGCUCGAAGUCCUCCUCCGAAGCCCAGCUCUCCAUCUUGUUGACCGCAGCUCCUUCGCGCGUAGUCCAGCUCUGAAGAUCAAAGAAGACCGCUGCAGCUGCCACGUCGAAGCCAUUAGCCACCGAAAGAAGCUCCUUCGGUCAACAACCCAUGCACGAAGCCCCCAUCGUCGACCCACUCAGCUUCUCCGCGCGUCCAGCAGCAAAUUCGUGUUCACGUCUUCAGUCCAGCGAAUCAACCGAAGAAAUCCAGUCCGUUUGCUACCGCUUGAUAGCGCCAGCCCACUUCUCGGUCUUCCCCAUCUCACGCCAGCAAAGGUGCUUUCCGUUCGUUGAUUCCAUCUCCGUGCUCAGCUUCUGCGGGACGUCUGCACGCCGGUCAACAAACGAGCCAGCAGAAGCUCCUCUGUUGACUCCGCAUCUCCAUCCCACGAGCCACCAGCAAGCCCACGCCUCUGCCAGGCAUCCCCUCUUCCUGCGUACAGCGCCGAACGAAGCAGCUCCGUUCUUCACCGCGUCUUCUUCAAUUCGUGUGAGCAGCCCAGUCACAAGUCCACCGAAACAACUUCGGCCCAGCAGCUGCUUCUCCAGUUCGUGGGCCAGCCGUAGCAGCCCAGCCCACGCGUGACACCAGCUCCAACAGUCUUCGGUCUUCUCCAGCGGCGUGCCCUUAGCCCAACACUUUUAAUCAUUUAGGCCCAGUAAAGUUCAGUCCAGCUGAGGGCCAUUUCAAGCCCAGUCGAAUUACUUCAGCUGCAGCCCAGCCCAGUCUACGUGAAUUAAUUGGCCAAGCCCAAUUUCCAGCAAAGCAAUUGAAGUCCAGCCCAUAUCUCGAAGCCUAGUUCAGUUUUGUUUCCAGCCCAUCUCAGCCCGAGUGUCGAGUCCAACAUCAUUUGUAUUUCAGCGAGGCCCAGCAAGUUCAGCCCGUCUUGGGCCCGUGAAGCAAGUCAGCCCAAGGCCAGCUUUUGUUGUGGGCUUGCGAGGCUUGUAGGCCCGGCUCGAGUGUCUAUCGUCGCCGCCGAAAUUUUGGAAUUCGACCGCCGUCGCGGUUUUCGAUCUUCGCUUUACCAAGUGAGUUUUACUCACUAAAGCUUUAUUAGUUUGCUAAUUAUGUCUUAGGGUUGGUUAGAUUUAAUUACAUGCACUUAGGUGGUUAGAUUAGGUUAGAACAAUUAAUUUAGUGACUUAAUAAUGCAUGUUAGGUGGUUAGACCUAGCUAUUAGCAAGUAGAAAUGUUUGGUUAUUUACUGAAUGCAUCUCGGGAUUUUUCCCGACCCGUUUCGGGCUCCAAUAAGGCAAUAUAGGCCUAAAUUGGAUUUUUAAUGUUUAUUUAUUUAUUUUCGAAAUUAUUUAUUUAAUUAUUUAUUUUUCCGGAAAUUCAACCGGGAUGGCCGGUGACCGGAAUUUCGUGCUGAUUGUCGUGGUGCAGCCCAUUUAUUUAUUUGAGCUCUACGUUGCGUGGAAUUGAAUUUAUUGUGGAAUUUUAGGAAUUGUCCUAAAUUGUUUGCUAUUGAAUAUUUGAUUGGUAAUGGCCAAGCAUGGGUAUAUAGCGCCAGUACGUUGAUGGGCUAUAUAGUAGGGAGAAUGGUGAGACCAAUCAGGUACGAUAUUAUUGGACAUACGUGGUUCGGUGAUUGGAAGUAUCACUGGCGAAAACGGCGCCUUAAAGAACGCACGUAAAUGACUUAUAGACAAACGUGGUUCGGUGAUUAUGGGAAUAUCACUGGUGAAAACGGCGCCUUAAAGAACGCACGAUGUUGUCUAUAGCCGAUGUCACCUUGGCGAAAACGACGCCCUUAAAAGGACACGUGGUUCGGUGAUCAAGGUUAUCACUGGUGAAAACGGCGCCUUAAAGAACGCACGGUGUCGGUGAUCGGUAUGUCAUUGGCGAAAACGACGCCCGAAAAACACAUGUGAUUUGGUGAAUGAGUACACCACUAAGAAAGUGUGGUAUGAGUGGGAAUGACCUAGAAAGGGUCUGGCUGACAUGUAAUCGACUUGUCGAUUGAUCAAUGCUUGAUCGGAUGCCGUGAAUUGUUUGAAUGUAUGUGUUUAACCUUGAAUUGCAGGUUGGAACUGAGGCUAAGGUAAGUCCUCUGACUCGUGUUGUGCUUAGGCAACCGUAUGGUGUAUUAGUUUACUAAUCGAGUCGUAGGGGGUAGGACUCGCUGAGACGUGGUCUCAUUGGUUAUUGAAUAACCAUUUCAGGACCCUGAGGAAAAGCUGAGGAGGAAGAACCUGAAGGGGAGAAAGUAUUUUGAAGUAGAAGAUGAUCCAGAGAGGGAUCUUGAAUAUAACCCAGAUGUGGAUUGGGAUCCCAUCCCUUUUGUGAACCAUGUCUUAGUGUAGAUAGGUGUGAGACUUUUAUCUUGUAAAUAGUAAAGUAAAUAUUCUAUGAGUGGUGAUGUUAAUGAAAGUGUGGUUAUGAAUUUAAAUAUGAAAAAUAUGGCCUACUUUCCUAUCCCAUUGUUUUAUUGUCUGGGGAUUUAUAACUGCUUCCGCAUGUGCUUAAUAAAAAGAAAGGGUCGGCGAUACAUAGUCCUGGGAUAUCGCAUUAUAAAAUCGACCAAGUAGAAGGAUGUGCGCGCGUCCGAGGAUCGGGGCGUGACAUAAGCCACUUCGUUCCCUAAAAUAAAAUAGUGUGUGGUACCACAAAGAUAAUACUUACCUAUUUGUUCAGUAUAAGAUUUCGAAUUUUAUUCAUAGUUAGUCUAAGAAAAUUGUCUUUGAUACUGAAAAUAUAUUGAAUGCAGUUGUAAGUUCAUAUUUUGUGGGAUCAAAUCCCACAAAUGCCCGAUACAAUCAUAUUUAAAGAAAUUAGAAUUUUGAGUUGCUCAAUUGAUUCAAUGAUAUAUAUAGACGUCCUGCCCACUAUGAAGUGAUUAUUCACCAUGUUAUAUUAUUAAAUAAAGAGCACAAGAGUACUCGUGAGCUUUUCUUCUUUUGAAUUAUUGUGGAGAUAUCAUCCAAAACUUUAGAACAUCUAAUUAAAAUUCUUCACAUACUUUUGAUGACUUAAAAUCAUAAUUUAUUUAUUUUUUAUCUAAAUGAAAAUCUUGAUUGUCCAACCACUCUUCCAUUGAUUUAAAAGGGUGUCCCGGAGAACAUGCGAACCCCGUGAACGAGUGUAAUGGUAAGUUCUAGAAUAAGCUUUAAAGCUUGAACAUUAGAUUUUGGAAUCCAAACAAACUCAAUGUUACGAGGAUCAGAAAAUUCCAGACUUGGGGUUUUAAGAUGACAACACCUAUACAUGUGCCCGGGGAUAUACUCUAGCCUCUAACAAAGUCUUUAAUUUGAUUAAAUCGAGCAAGACAAAAGACUAAUAAGACAAGAGUGCGGCAAAUAUGAAUUAUGGCUUCUGCCAUUGCUUCCCCUCUUUCGUCGAGGCCCAUUCCGACUGUAAGUUAGUAGUGGCUCCUGAGAUGUUUGCUGAACUUUCUAUCUCUUACUAUGGGGCUAAUUCCAAAAAAAAAAAAAAAAACACCAAUUUCAGGUCAAGUGAUAAAUCUAGCCUGAACAUUUUUUAUCUCGUAAAAAGACACCAACUUUAAGUGGAGUAACAAAAUUAGCCUAAACUUUUUGUUGUCUUGUCAAAAAGUACUAACUUUAAGUCGAAUGGCAAUUCUAGCGUCAACCUUUUUGUAUCUCGUAAAAAAUCACAAAUUUUUACCUUAUUCCAAAUCUGGCCCCUACCGUUAACUCUCUAUCUGAAGUCAACUUUGUUUCAAAAAAAGGUUCUAGUCGUGAGGUUGGCAGAUUUCAUCCAUGGUGUCUCUUUAAUAGGCGGUGGUCUACAACUUCAUAUUACGACAAAGCGGCAAAGUCUAACCAAAGAAAUUUAAUCUGGAGAUCUUUCUGAUUUUCUAGUAAAGUGUAAGAAACGAUGAGUAGCUUUACUACUAUUCUUCAAGCUGUGGCUCAAACAAGGAAACAAUGAAUAAUGUUUUGCAUCUGGUCAACAAAUGCACAUGGAUUUAUUGCUAUGGACAAUCAAUGAAUCUAAGUUAAAGGGAGCCAGAUUUGCGAUCUAAGUGAGAGUUGGUCAUUUUUUUCAAGGCAAUAAAAAGUUGGGGCAAAUUUGUCACCGAACCUAAAGUUUGUGUUCUUUUAUGUGACAAAUUUUUUUUUUUGCCAUAUUUGCCACUCAAUCUAAAGUUUGUGCCUUUUUUUUGGAAGUAGGAACUUACUGCGAGCGUCUACCCUCUCUACGCCACGCCUCAGUAGCCACCUCGGGCUUCGUGCUCUUGAAAGCUCCAUAGAGACUAUUCCUUGAGAAGACGAUUUGAAACUUGAAGCAUCCAUGUAUUAAUGUACAAUUUAGGAGUAUAUGUCAGCAAAGUUAUUUUUAGGUUGCUUUCAGAUAAAUUUCAUGAGUUUUGUUAGUUAUAAGGCGCAAAAAUUCGCUUGAUCUGUGCAGUUAUUUCUCUACGGAUCAAAAGUGCGGCAAAAUCACAAAGAGAGGAACGAUAAUUCACUUAAUUAUCAUCGAGUGAUAAUAUUUUAUUUCAUGAUAGAGACAUAAGUAUGAAUCCAAGUAAGUAAAAGUUCUCAUAUGGCAUCAUCAAGGAGUGUUUAUUUUUCGAAGGCGGUAACGGCUAUUGGAACUCGGCAGCGUCCCGUCCAAGCAACUGCAUUCGGUAUUGAAGCAAAAUCCAUUUCCUGAGGGGCAAAAGGGGCGACAAUCGUCGUUAAUCACGCACUCACCAGACGCGGCCAUUGAAGAUGGCAGACUUGCCCACAGCAAAACGGAGACGAGCAUGAGCGCGAGAGCUAUCUUGGAUGAUGAACUCCUCUCCAUCAGGUUCAAUCGGCUCUAUUGCAGACGUAAUUUAUAUCCGAAUGAAUCUUGUGUGUAGGAUGGCGCAUUUUAUAGGCAUCAUUGGGAGAGAAAGUAAUUAGGUCUCGUUUUUUUAUUUUUACUCAUAUAUAGGAACAAAUCUGAGAUCUUUUCUGCCUUUUUGGUUUUCUUUUUAAGAGGAAAUGGACGUGAAUGUGUGGAUUCUUUUAUUAAUAUAUUAGCGACCCUACCAAAAAUGUUACGAAGAUAGAUUUUGGAAAAUGGAAUUAGUGCAUAAUGAGGACAUUUUAUGAGACAGCUGUUGGAUAUAUAUUUCCAUAGAGUUAGCUUGUCGGGGUCACCUUGUCACGAAUCUGACAUUUGAGGAUAUCAUACUAAUGCAAACAGGUGAUAUAAAGCAAUAUAAUAAUGACAGGAUUAAAGUUCACGUUUUUGGAUGAUACUUACUGAAAAAAGAAAAACUAAGAGAUUGGAACCCUGACAUUAACUUGGGCCAAUUGAACGGGCUAAAACUACUGAAAUGAAACUACGAGGCGUACCAUGUUGAUUGUUGCUCGUCUUCACUUAAUCGAAAACUUUGAAAUGAAUCCAGUGCUUGUGUGUUAAAAAAGGACCAACAAUCGAGAAAGGAACGCAAACUCAAUAUUGGAUCGUUGAGGUGAGCUCCCAAAUCAAUCCCAAGUUCUCAAAGGGAAUGGCAUCUUGAGCAAGAGAUUGGAUUUUUACUCCAUCAAAUUUAAGAAAUUGAACAACCGAAAAAUUAAAGUAACAACAUAUCGAGAUGACAUUAUAAUAGACAUCCAUGCAUAGCAAUUUUCUACGAUGGGAGUACUUUCUCAUCAAAUUUGUAACAAUUUGUUGUAACGAUUUCACUUGGCCAACUGCAAUUAACUGGAUUAAAGUCAAUCAGCUUAGAGUCAUUGCUCGCAUUUAACGUCACAAUGUAUCCUCGAAUAUAGUUCGACCGUGGCCAAACAUGAAUCAUUGGCCCGAAUUCCAACGCCAUGGUCCGUAGGAAAUCCAAGAGACCGAUGCUGUUCAAGAAUAUCACCCACAGUUUUAGCUUGCGUCCACGACACACUUAAAUUGUAGCACUUGCUUGCGAAAGAUUGGCACAUUUUGUUGCCUGAGUUUUUUCCUAAUCAAUGAGUUUUUUCCUAAUCAACGAGAUGUCAUCGUUCGAAUACAUGCCAAGGGAUUGCAGAGUCUCGUAUGGAAGCUCAUAGGGAAGUGUCAAGAUUCUUCAUGCCCAUCACCACUUAAUCUUUCGUGACAAUGCUAUUUCGGGGUCUUCUUGCCAUGCCAUACUAAUUAACUGUAACUGGAGUUCCACGUUCAACCUCUUCUUCGGUGUGUGUCCCAUCACCACGUUCAAUGCUAUUUUGACUAUAUUGAAUCUACGGUACUGUUGACCUAAAAAAAAACCGACUUUAAGCGUCAACUCAGGUUAAAGAGACAAAGCAAGAUGCAACCAGUGAUAAGGUGAUUAGUUUUAGUGAAAAAUACGAAAGGAAAACUAGAUCGUAGAAUAAGAACAAUUGAGCGUCGGUAAGCAAGGCCUCACCUAAUCGACAAAGGGCACAACUAACAUUACUCACGAGGAGCUGAAAAUAUAGUAAUUAUUUAAGUCAUGAAACCUACAAUUUCGGAUGCAGCCGUGAAGAGGUCCAAUCUUACAUACCUUUUUAUAUGGCUGGACACAAUUUUCUCCAAUCUUACAUAUUUAUUUUCUCAUUAAUUUUCUCAUUGGAAAAUCAACAAAUGGUCCUUCACAUCCUUUGUCAAGGUAUUUCGUUAAAACAUUUCGACAAAUCGAGCACAAUAAAGUAAAGGUACAAGGAGAAAAGAAAAGGCCAAAGUAAAUUGCAACAACACAAAAAUAAUAAUAGACCGAUACGUAGUCUGUGAGGAAGCCGUACCACAUGCUUCAUGACACCUAUUAAUAGGCAACUGCAAGUGGAAAUUCGAGUCAAACACAAUACAAUAAAACAACUGCUACGCAUUUGAAAGAAAUAAUAAGAUAUUGUCUGCUAGCAACAUUUCUAUCAAUACAAUACACCUCAUUCAUUGAUUGUGGCACGUAAGGUUUCGUCAUCAGCCAAGGUAAUGUGGUUCUUGGCUGCUUUUUUUAAUAGGUCCAUUGAGAUUAUAGAUUUCUUCAGGUGAUAGGACAAAGGGACCUGGUAAAUUUGCUUCCUAUGUUUCACCACAAAUUCACUUAGACUACGUUUGAUCGUCCAGAUUUCUAAUCAGGAUAGGACUAGAUAGGAUAGGAUAUGAAAUCUUGGUAUUUUUUUAUAUCAUGUCUAUUGUUUGGUGAAUCGCAGUAUUAAAGUCGAAUAUGUUCACGUUAUAUCGUGUACAAUUUUUUGAUAUAAACGGCAUAUCAUUAUAAAUGAACCUAAAUUCAUAAACGGAGAUUGUGAAAAUCUCUCAUAACAUUAUUUCUUAUUUUAUUUUUAUUUUAUUUUUCCUCUUUUUAUAUUAUUUUAUUUAUUAUUCCUUUUUCUCCCCUUUCAUCAUUCUUUAAUAAAAUUUUAUCAAAUAGUAAACCAUACUAAGAUAUCAAAAAAUAUAUAAUAAAUAUAAAUAUUUAAUUUAUAGAUUGAAUGUUUAUUAUAAGAUUGAAUUAAAGUUGAAUAUAUAAAUUAAAAUAGGAUUAAUUAAAAAUAAAUUUUCUUUUUAUUUUUAUUUUUAAUUUCUUAAAUUAGAAUUCAAAUAUUAUUUCUAUUGAAAUAUAAUUUCAAUUUUAUUAAUUUAAUAAGUUUAUUAUUCGAGAAAAAUAACUUUUGUGACAUCCUGAUUUUCCAAUUCUAUUUUCAAUAAAUUGAGACGGGGAUUUCGUUGGCACGCAUAUAGUUCUUUUCCUCGAGUCGGCCACUCAUGUGAAAACUAGUCUAUCAGGCGAAGCAAUUAAGAGAUUUUAAUGCAUCAGACUCGAGAAUUUGACCAGGAAUCGACUUUUUGACCGAGCUAAUCCGCAAUGGUCAUUACAACACAAUUAAAAAUUGAUUAGAGACUAGAGAUAGGUCGACUCGACAGAGGCAUAUGAUCAAGUGUGAGUGAUUCCACCAGAUCACACAAUUCUUGUCGAUCGGCACUGGAUUGACUUUUAUGUUGAUUGGGUACCCUGUGUCCGUAUUUGAAACCUUGAGAUUACCCAACAACCGUAAGUCGCCAAUGUGUCAAAGAUAGACAUUGUGGCUUGAUCAAUCACAUGUUAAAUGUACGAAAAUUUCUAAAAGCUACCCAGUAGAUUAGGAUGCGCUCCUAUCGUGCCAAAGUGAAAUUAACUGUGAAUUGAGAUCAAAUUAAAAAAUUGGAAGUCUAAGUAUGUCACAAAUCAUUCUAGGAACAUUGACUCAUCUUUGGAAGAUUUUUCAUGCAAGCCGAGUUUUUCAGUAAAAUAAUCAAGAUAUGGUUAAUUUGGUUUGGAAAAUUGGUAGGCCCGCUUUUGAUGGUAUUUUUGAGAUCAAGAUGGUUCUAUGGUCAAUUAAAUAUAUGAGUUGAAAUAUGGUGACAUUGGAUUAAUUUAUGGACUUUAAUUGGACUCAAUUGGAAGUUGAUUGAUUAAAAUUAAAGAAUUUAAUGUACAAGAUUUCUUACCACGGUGGCAAAUGAAAUUGAACCUAUUAGAAUAAGGUUGUGGGAGGUUGGAGUUAGUGGAUUGUGACAUCACAAAUGAUGUCAUGAGGUGGGGCAAGAAUGGUUAGGAUGGUGACAUAUGGAGGGUAGAGAUUGAAUCCCAAAAAGGUGGGAUGUCACUUCCCCAUCUCCAUCAUCUUCUUCAUUGAGUUUUGUUCUUGAAUUUUUGGGAGGGGAGAAGCCAGCCGUGCGAGACCCACCAGCCUGACGCCCAGCUCGUCCGCUGCUCACCGCCGUGGCGGUCGUCGCCCAUCCAUGUGCGAAGCCCCACGCUCCCACUCGCCAUCGUCUAGCUCACCGCUUUGCCCUUCGUCCGUUGACCCUUUCUCCUCCACCUCUCCUUGUGGCUUCGAAACCCAGCAAUCGAAGAAGCCUUGAAGCGGAAACCCAACAGCCGUCACAGCCGCAACCGGAGUCGUCACCACCGCAACCCUCCGCCUCACUCUCUCCCCUUGCUGUUCGACUGUCUCUCCUCUUUCUUUGGUGUGCCUUGAAGGCUUCGAAAACCAGCAACAAACCAGAGAAGCCCGUCUGAAGCCGUACGCCGCCGGAGGAGCCUCCGCCACCGCCCAUCACCAUUCAUCCCUCCGCACGGCCGUCAAUGCUCGCCGCUGCUCCGCACGACUCCGUCUCCCUCUCGCCUGCCUUUGCGUCGCAGCUGCUGUAUCAGCUCGUCCCGAAGCUGUUCAGCCACCUCUGACCACCGUGAGACCCCGUCGUCGGCCGCACAGCACCACUGCAACUCCUCCGUCCGUUUCCAACCCAAGCUGACACCGGAUCUACCAUUUCUCGGCCUCAAACCGCAGCGGACAGCAGCAAACAAAAAUGGGUAUUCCAGCCUAAUUUUGGCCGUUUUGGCCGGCUUCCCGACCCCGGAUGCUUGGCCCGCCUUGAGGAAAGUCAAUACCCACGACGACCCCGUCGUUUUGGUCCGAUCGGUUCGUUAAUCGAGUGAGUUUAGUUCACUAAAUCUUGAUUAGAGGGUUAAUUAUGCGUAGGGAGGUUUAAUUUAUGUUAAGUGUUAUUAGGUGGUUAAUUUAAUUUAUUUAAGUGUAGAUUAUAUUAAGGUGCUUAAUUAACUUAAAGUGUGUUUAAUUUAAGGCUAAGUGAAUGUUUAUAUUAAUAUAAGCCUUGAUGUGACUUAAAGGGAUUUAUUUUUUAUUUAUUUAAGUAUUCCGAAAUUAUUAAAUGAUUUAAUAAUAUAUAUUUAUUCGAAAUUAUUAAAAUAUUAUUAUUUAAUUAAUUUCGGAAUAAAAUUAAUUAUUUAUUAAAUUCCGAAAAUUAUUUUGGGACCUUAUUUUCUCAGAAUUUCAUGCUCACCGCUGCUGUGUAUUCAAAUUAUUAAUAUGAUGAGUGGAUAUUGCAAACUGAGUGAUGAUUUGUGCAAUUGAUUGCCGAAUUGUAAAAUUGAGUGAUGAUUGUGAAAAGUAUAUAAUUUCUUCAGAAAAUCCCAAGUGUCGGGUUUGACACUGAAAAUGGAUUUUAAGUAUUAUAUCAAGCAGUGGGGUUUGAAAAGGAAUGGUGUUAGUUUUUCUGGUUCGAAUUUGAUUGUGUAUCCACACACACAACUGCUUUCUCAAAUGUUUUUAAUAUGAAGAAAAAUGGCUGGGAUCACUAUGUUAAGUGGAAGCAUUGAGUGAAAUGCAAAGUGUCCUGGGGUCGAGUAUGAUUUUGUUGUGUGAUAAUUAAGAGGAAGUUGUCCAGGGCUGUUGAGUCGAACUUGCCUUAUAUGGGAUGCCCCUUACAAUGAAUGGGGGUCAAAGUAGAGGCUAGGCCAACUAGACCCAUGCUCCUUUACGAAUGUUGUCAAUGUAGUGACGAAGCCGCGCUUCAAGGGGGGAGGCAAUGCUUGGCAUUAAUGUCAGUAGAUAGCCGAACUGAGAGUAGGCUAUGCCCUUGUGUGGCAGUGAAUAACAAUUGGAUCGCAUGAUGAGUGUUAUUGACGGGUCGGAUUAUGGGACGGAAUCGUGUGGCAUGGUAUGAGACGUGUCAUAACAAUUUAGUCUUAUAAUCCAGACUCUUGUGGUCGUUCGAAAUGAUAUUGUUGGCGUUCUAGUGGUUUAAGUUUCUAUUACUAUCUAUGAUUGAGUGAUUUAAAUCGUGCUAACCUACAGGAAGGAACUGAGGCGAGGUAAGCUCUCUAUGUGGUGUGGCUAGGCCACCCUUGGGCGUAUUUUCUUUCUAAUAGGGGUUUAGGGGGUUGAACUUGCUAAGACAAUGUCUCACCCUAUUGUGGACCAAAAUUUCAGAACCGUAGAUGGUAGAACCCCCAGAGGCUGAUCACUCAGAAGUGGGAUCGAAGAACGAGUCCGACUAGUGGUCAUAGGACUGAUCCCUUUUGUAAACUACCAAUUUUUGGUAUAUGUGUAAAGCCGAGUGUGGUUACCUUUGAAAGCAUGUUUGUUUAUGAAUGAGUUGGUUUCUUGCUUUCCUAUCCCGUGAAUUUUUGUCAGGGGUUUUAUAAUACGUUCCGCUUCUGCAAUAAUAAAUUAAUGGGGUCGGUGACACUACCCGGGAAUGUCGCAUUUGCAUGACCAUGGCGGGAUUUUGGCACGCUCGAGGUUCGGGGCGUGACAACUUUUCUAUUAUGGACAUUAGCAAUCCCCGUGAAAUAAUUUUAUCUUGUCUAUAUUCGACUUUAUCCUGUCUUAAGUGAGUGUCAAACAUAGGAUAUGAUAAAUCAUAUCUUAUCUCGAAUUUUAUCCUAACUGCCAAAUGUAGCCUAGUUGUUUGUCUCGUGAUAGUAACUUUUAUUUUAACACACCUCACACGUACAUCUUAAUAAUAUUUCCCUCGUGUGUUAUCUUAGUGUUAGCUCUGCUCCUCUUUAGCUCAGGUUUUCUUUUGCAUCAACAUGUUUCCAAUUAUGAUAUAUUAAAUACUUUACACAAAGACCAAUUUUCCACCGUGAGACUUUUUCUAACAUCUUAAUAUUUUUUCUCCCACGUAUGAGCUUGAUGUUAGGAUUGCUUCAUCUUAAUUCAAAUAUCAUUUUGUAUCAAUAUGUCUCGACUUGAAUCUCCAAUGCUUACCUCCAUUCUCGUCCCUUACUCCAAGCUAGACCAUGAAGACCUCGUUGCUAUGCCAUAGCACAAGCUUAUAACCAAGUCUCUUUCGCCAAGCUAAACCAUAAGGCUACCAUACCACAACACACACUUUCAUCUAGUCUCUUUUGCCAGAUCAACCCAUAAGGUUAUUCGAAAACCGCGUUCAUUAUGAGAUUCAUUCCUUAAAAUAUUUACCAAAUACAGAUACACAUAGGCUUCUUGAGUGAAUUGUUUGCUUUUUCAGUGUUUUGGGGGAAAAAAAGAUACACAUGAAUUGAUGAAUAAGGAUAUCUGCAUAAUUAAUUAGUUAAUUAUAGUUUGGUUAGAUUGUAUAAACAGUUUUCAUAUAAAAAUAUCAUUUAAAACGCUGCAAAUGGGAUUUGUUGCUUUAAAAAUAAUAGUGAAUACACUUUCUUAUCUUUUAUUUGUGUCAAUUCAAUUUAUUUGGUGAAUUUUGAGUGGCUAACAAUGACAUGGAUAAUUUUUUAAUAAUAUUUUAUUUUUUUCGAAUUUUUUAUUUUAUUUUUCUUUCUCUUUUCUUUUCCUCCUUCUUCCUUCUUCCUUAAAUUUUAGAGCUAAAUUCCACUUUGUUCCUUAAAUAAAAUUGUAUAUGUCACCCCAAAGAUAAUACUUACCAAUUUUUUUAGUGUAAUAUUUCGAACUUCAUUUAGAAUUAGUCCAAGAAAAUUGUCUAUGACACCGAAAAUAUGUUGAAUUACCUUGUAGUUAAUCCAUGCUUGACAUGUCUUAGUCUAAGCUCAUAUUUGUGAACAUCGAAUCAUAUUUAGAGAAAUCAGAUUUUUGUAUCCAACCAUUGAUUCUAGCAAACAAAGAAGUUCAUGUUCCAAAAUAAAAACAUAGACAAUCCUUUACUAAUGGAAGUUCUGGCGGACUAAUGCCUUUAUUUUGAGAAAAAUCGAAAUAUGUUUGCUCCUAUGGUACACAAAAGUGAAUUAAUUCAAGGUGUUUUUAUGAUCAGUGAAUAUGAUUGUUGACACCUAAUUUAAAUUCAUUUUUAAAAAUGAAAGAUAAUAUUUGAUUAUAGAGGGAAAUUUUGAAAACAAACUUUGAAUUCAAAAAUGCAACAGCCGUGUGGUUUUGGAGCCGCAUUUUUGUUGAAGAAGUUGAGUGAAUAUUGGGAAGUCUUCAACAACUUUGAGCGCUUUCACUAUAAAACGCGAGGUUUCAUAAUUGAGCGAGGGGGGCUUCUCUUCAUCUUUCGUCGAAAGAGAAAAAUUAGAAAAUUGAAAGAGAAAAAAAGUGGGGAACUUCUCUUCGUUCGGCCAAAAAAGGAAAAGUGAAGAGAAUCUUUUGCUUCUGCAGAGAGAGAAAGAGGGCAAGGAAUGUAGAGAGAAAGGGGAGAAAAGUCAAAAGGUGAAGUGAAAAAGAAGAGAGCAGAGGGAGAAGACGUGAGAGUGAGAGAGAGGGAGAGAAAAGGUAAAAAAAAAAAGAAAGAGAAAAAAAAAAGAGCUACUGUUCAUCUUCUCCAGAGCUUCCCCUCGUCCGCAUCUGCUCGACCGGUCAUCCGAACCUCCACCGCUGCACGUCCCCGUAAGCGCUGCCGCCCCAGCGUCCAGCGCCGCACCUCCGCCAGAGCGCGACGCCAUCACCUCCACGUCCGCCGGCGACCCCUUCUGCUCAAAAGCUGCAAAGCCGACGCCUGCAGCUACCGCCUCGCCGACCCUCUGCACUCUCCUUCCACCGCUACCGACGUCGGCAGCCGCAUUUCCAUCUCCUACGAGCAACGACUUCCCUCCACCAGUAGCCCGCGCUGCUCCGUCUCCGCUCGGUGCCCGACGCCCCUGCAGCACCUCUAUCCGCGACCACCCGAUGCCUGAUGCCCGACGACCGUGACUCUGCAACCCGCAGCCCAGCCGAUUCCGAGCCGGUCCGUUCUGCUCCCGCUGUUGCUGCGCCUCUGACCACCCGAGUACCGGAUCCCGUGACGCUCGCGCCUCCGAUCUCAUUCGCCGACGCUCCCCGCAGCAGCUCAACCCUGCUCGUCGCUGCUGCCGAGCCGUUCCACCAUCCCGAUGAAGCCGCCAUCGUUCUGAUUCGUGACGAUCCCGACGCUGUCCCCUGGUCCGUUCGUCAUCAGUUCGCCCUCUACCAACCGGUGACACUGUUGCAGAAAUCUUCUUGAAGUGUUUUGAAGUUGACAAAUCGUUUCUAUCAGUCUAGUCUGAAGGCUUACAGACUUUGCUAUUUAAAGUCUGAAGACCUUGGGACAGCCAGACUCAAGACUCAAAGUCUAUCCUCAUUGACAGUCUCUAAUCCGUUGAAGAAAGGUUAUCCAGAACUGGAUGUUUCGUUGAGGAUUUAACCUUAUCAACUGGAGAAGAUCUCAUGGCUGGAGAAGACAUAAACGGAGUCCUUUGAUUGAUCGAAGAUUGAUUCGAUAAUUGAAGAUCCGGUGAUUGCCUAAAUAUUAUUGAAAGGUUCUGCUUAUGGAAACCGAGAUCCUGAUUGUAUGGGCGAACAGGGUUGAUGGGCUAUCAACAUGUUCCAUUAAUAGCUUGGACAAUCUUCCUAAUUGAUUCCGUCCAACGGGUAGAUUGGAGGAAUUCCUUUGGUAAGUGCCAACGGGUAUGAUGGCAUAAAGGAGUAUAUAAGGAAGACUGUCUUAGUUGUUCAAGGUGUGCGCGAUAGAAGAAUUCCAAAGUCUGAAGCUCCUUUUUGUUUAGACAAAUCCUUUGAGCGAAUACUUGUAUACGAAAGAGAGAGUCUAUAUUUGUGAGAAAUCUUGAGGAGGUGUGGUAGGACAUCUACACUGUGGAAUCAAGGCAAAGCUGUGCUGUAACCUCUUUCUUGUUCAUAGUGGAAUCCAGCCAAUAGGCUGUCAGUGAAGAAGAGUGGACGUAGGCUUGAUAUAAGCCGAACCACUAUAAAUCGCGUGUUAAAUUUUCUCUUCUCUCAGUCUUACUUUGAUUAUCGUUUCCUCCAACUGUCUAGUAUUGUGCAAUUGCUUGAGAAAAAUUCUUUAUAUACCUAUUCACCCCCCUCUAGGUACUCAUACUAGCAAAAUCAAUUGGUAUCAGAGCCCGUGUGCUUACUUUAUUUGAAGUGUUUUACUUCGUAGUAAAAGAUCCAUGGUUAGUAUGCUAGCACCAGGGCUGAUGGAAGGGCAAAGCAAUACCAUACCACCCUACUUUGAUGGAAAGGAUUACAACAUCUGGAAGAACAAGAUGAAAGCUUUCCUUCGAUCAAAGGAUCCUCUAGAAUGGGACGUUGUAGAAAAAGGAAUUACUCCUACCACUGCAUCAGUCUCUGAAAGAGGAAAAGAAACUGAUGAAACCAGCGGAAUGUCUCAGGAAGAAAUAAUCAAGAGACAAGCACUCGAUGCAAAAGCAAUUUACUCCUUAUAUUGUGCUUUAUCACCAACUGAAUAUAAUAGAAUAUCUUCUUGUGGUACAGCAAAAGAAGUUUGGGACAGAUUGCAUAUCACCUAUGAAGGAACAGAUCGAGUGAAGGAAACAAGAAUCAACAUUCUUCUCGGUCAAUACGAAGCCUUCAGAAUGAAACCGGGAGAAUCUAUAUCUGACAUGUUUAGUCGUUUUACAGAUAUUGUGAAUGGUCUUGAAAAUCAAGGUCAACCAACUUCUGAUCCCAUGAAGGUAAACAAGCUACUGCGUGGACUCUCCAGGGAUUGGAAUCACAUAAAGACUUCGAUAAGAGAGACGCAAAGAAUUAUGCCACUAUCUGUCGACGAGCUAAUUGGAACUCUUCAGUCUUAUGAAGUGGAACGGAUCAAUGAAGAUGAAGAUCCAAAAGGUAAGAAAUCCAUUGCAUUAAAAUCAAAUGAUGAUUCUGAUGAUACAGAUUCUGAAGAAGAUAUGGACGAUGAGGAGCUUGCUCUCAUGAUAAGAAGAUUCAGAAAACUGAAUAGAAAAGGAAGAAGGUUCAACUCAAAGAAACAAAGCUUUCAAAGACAGCAGACCAAGUCUGUUGAUGAUGAGGAACCAAACAAAGACAUAGUCUGCUUUGAAUGUAAGAAAAAGGGACACAUAAGACCCAACUGUCCUCUUCUGAAGAAGAAGAAAGGAAAAGCUGAAAGAUUUCGAAAAGCUCUCAAAGCCGAAACCUGGAGUGACACAGAGUGUGAAGAAAGUGAUAAUGAAUAUGCCAAUCUAUGUCUGAUGACACAAUCAGACUCAGACUUUGGAUCAGACUCAGACAGUGAAUUUGAGGUCACCGUCAAGAAAAAGGUAAAGUGGUAUCUUGACAGUGGAUGCUCAAGACACAUGACAGGAGACUCAAAUUGUUUUAUAAAGAUUGCUCAAGUAAAUGGUGGAAAAGUUUCAUUUGGAGGAAACAGCAAAGGUAGUAUUGUGGGAUUUGGAACUGUGAAAAUUAGAAAUCUCACAAUAAGUAAUGUUUCCUUAGUGGAAGGACUCAAUUACAAUCUUCUCAGCAUUAGUCAAUUGUGUGAUACUGGUUUCAAGAUCUUUUUUCAAGAAGGAAUAUGUUCUGGAAUCAGUAAAGACUCUACUCAGUCUUUCAUGGGUCGUAGACAUGGAAACAUUUAUCUUCUGGAUGUGAAACCAAAUGAAUCGCAAUGUUUUAUCUUAAUUCAAGACGAAGCAAGCUUAUGGCACAGAAAGCUUGGUCAUGUCAACAUGAAGCAAUUAGCCAAAAUCUCAUCAAAGCAGCUUGUUCGAGGACUACCCAAAUUACCUUAUCAAAAGACUGAUCCAUGCACUCCAUGUAUUCUGGGAAAGCAGGUAAGAAAUUCAUUCAAGCCAAUAAAUCAUGUCUCUACUAAUCAUGUACUACAGUUGCUGCAUGUGGAUCUCUUCGGACCAACCAGAACACAGAGUAUUGGAGGUAAGAAAUAUUGCCUAGUAAUUGUAGACGAUUACUCCCAUUUUACUUGGGUAUAUUUCCUUGCAAGUAAGUCUGAAACCUUCUUGUAUUUUGAAAAGUUUGCUAAAAAGGUUCAAAAUGAAAAAGGAUGUGUUAUCUCAAGUAUAAGAACAGAUCAUGGAGGUGAAUUUGAAAAUCAAGAUUUUACAAAAUUUUGUGAUGAAUCUAGCUUUAAUCAUGUGUUCUCCUCUCCAUAUACUCCUCAGCAAAAUGGAGUUGUGGAAAGAAAGAACAGAUCUCUUCAGGAAAUGGCUAGAACUCUUUUAAUUGAAAGCAAGAUUUCUUCACGAUUUUGGGCUAAAGCUGUUUCAACAGCAUGUUAUAUCAUCAAUAGAGUCUUCUUAAGACCUAUUCUAGAGAAAACCCCUUACGAAUUGUUCAAAGAUAAGAAGCCUAUUGUUUCAUACUUUCAUGUAUUCGGUUGCAAAUGUUUUAUAUUGAAAAAUGCAAAAGAUCGAGUUGGUAAGUUUGAAGAAAGAUCAGAUGAAGGUAUCUUCCUUGGAUAUUCUACAUCAAGCAAAGCCUUCAGAGUCUAUAACAAGAAGAGCCAGUCUGUGGAGGAGUCAAUGAAUGUCAAAUUUCAAGACUCAGCGCAAGAUGAAUCAAGUCAGACUCAUCAAGAAGAGUCUGAACCUGCUCCAGAUCUUCCAAAGCUUACAACUCAAGAACCAUCUCAGACUCUGGAAAACCAGCUUCAAGAUGUUUGUGAAGAUCCAAACAAAGAAAGAGAUCAUCAACCAGACAGAUCAACGAGUAACUGGAAGCAUAAGUCCAGUCAUCCCAAAGAUCUUAUAAUCGGCGAAAUGAAUGAAGGAAUUCGCACCAGAUCCAAAAGGCGAGAAGAGUCUAGUGAUGUGGCUCUCAUUUCUGAAAUUGAACCAAAAAGCAUAGAAGAAGCUUUAUCUGAUGAAAGCUGGAUUGAAGCUAUGCAAGAAGAGCUCAGACAGUUUAGCAUUAAUGAUGUCUGGAAAUUGACAUCCAAACCAAAAGGUAAAACUGUUAUUGGAGCUAAAUGGGUGUUCAGAAACAAGAUGAAUGAGAAAAGAAAAGUCAUACGAAACAAAGCAAGACUCGUGGCCAAGGGAUAUACGCAAGAAGAAGGAAUAGACUAUGAUGAGACUUACGCUCCAGUAGCAAGGUUAGAAGCUAUUCGACUAUUACUUGCAUUUGCUUGUUAUAAGAAUUUCAGGUUAUUCCAAAUGGACGUCAAAAGCGCCUUCCUAAAUGGAGUCAUCCGAGAGGAAGUUUAUAUGGAACAACCACCAGGGUUUGAAGACCCAAAGAAGCCAGACUCAGUCUUCAAACUGAAGAAGGCUCUGUAUGGUUUAAAGCAAGCACCUCAAGCUUGGUACGACAGAUUAAGUAAGUUUUUAAUACAAAAAGGUUUUGUCAAAGGUAAAGUGGAUACUACUUUAUUUAUCAAAAAGGAGAACAAAAGUUUCUUACUUGUUCAAAUAUAUGUGGACGACAUUAUUUUUGGAUCUUAAAAUGAAAAUAUGUGCAAGAAAUUUUCUAAGUCUAUGCAGGAUGAAUUUGAAAUGAGUAUGAUGGGAGAGUUAACAUUCUUUCUUGGUCUUCAAGUAAAACAAUUGAAGGAAGGAACUUUUAUUUAUCAAGAAAAAUAUGUUAAUGAUCUUGUCAAAAGAUUUGGACUGGAAAAGUGCAAAAAGACCGACAUACCGAUGUCAAGUUCUUUGAAGAUAGACAAAGAUGAAGAAGGGAAGAAAGUUGAUCAAAAGCUGUACAGGAGCAUCAUUGGUUCACUCCUUUAUCUUACUGCUUCUAGACCUGACAUCUUGUUGAGUGUUUGCAUCUGUGCUAGGUUUCAAUCAGAUCCUAGAGAAUCCCAUCUCAGUGCUGCGAAACGCAUCAUUAAAUACGUUGCUUCAUCAUCAAGCAUCGGUCUUUGGUAUCCUAAGAAGGGAGACUUUAAUCUUCUGGGAUAUUCAGACGCAGAUCUGGCCGGUUGCAGAGUUGAUAGAAAGAGCACUUCGAGAACUUGCCAGUUGCUUGGAAGCAGGACAGUGUCUUGGUUUUCAAGGAAACAAAGCACUGUGUCUCUUUCAACAACAGAAGCAGAGUAUGUAGCCCUGGGAAGCUGCUGUUCGCAAAUUCUAUGGAUAAAACAACAGCUAAGAGACUUUAAAAUUGAAGACUCAUGCACGGAGAUUAAUUGCGACAACACCAGCGCUAUCAACCUCACCAAAAAUCCAAUUCUCCACUCAAGAGCAAAGCAUAUAGAGAUUCAACAUCACUUUAUAAGAGACCAUGUUCAAAAUGGAGAUGUNNNNNNNNNNNNNNNNNNNNNNNNNNNNNNNNNNNNNNNNNNNNNNNNNNNNNNNNNNNNNNNNNNNNNNNNNNNNNNNNNNNNNNNNNNNNNNNNNNNNNNNNNNNNNNNNNNNNNNNNNNNNNNNNNNNNNNNNNNNNNNNNNNNNNNNNNNNNNNNNNNNNNNNNNNNNNNNNNNNNNNNNNNNNNNNNNNNNNNNNNNNNNNNNNNNNNNNNNNNNNNNNNNNNNNNNNNNNNNNNNNNNNNNNNNNNNNNNNNNNNNNNNNNNNNNNNNNNNNNNNNNNNNNNNNNNNNNNNNNNNNNNNNNNNNNNNNNNNNNNNNNNNNNNNNNNNNNNNNNNNNNNNNNNNNNNNNNNNNNNNNNNNNNNNNNNNNNNNNNNNNNNNNNNNNNNNNNNNNNNNNNNNNNNNNNNNNNNNNNNNNNNNNNNNNNNNNNNNNNNNNNNNNNNNNNNNNNNNNNNNNNNNNNNNNNNNNNNNNNNNNNNNNNNNNNNNNNNNNNNNNNNNNNNNNNNNNNNNNNNNNNNNNNNNNNNNNNNNNNNNNNNNNNNNNNNNNNNNNNNNNNNNNNNNNNNNNNNNNNNNNNNNNNNNNNNNNNNNNNNNNNNNNNNNNNNNNNNNNNNNNNNNNNNNNNNNNNNNNNNNNNNNNNNNNNNNNNNNNNNNNNNNNNNNNNNNNNNNNNNNNNNNNNNNNNNNNNNNNNNNNNNNNNNNNNNNNNNNNNNNNNNNNNNNNNNNNNNNNNNNNNNNNNNNNNNNNNNNNNNNNNNNNNNNNNNNNNNNNNNNNNNNNNNNNNNNNNNNNNNNNNNNNNNNNNNNNNNNNNNNNNNNNNNNNNNNNNNNNNNNCAAACUUGCCCCCAGCAAAAUGAAUACAAGCACGAGCACAAUAGCUAACUUGGAUGAUGAUCUCCUCUCCAUCACGAUCGAUCGACUCUAUUGCAGCUGUAGUAUUCACCCAAAUGAAUCUUUGCGUUGUAGGAUGGUGCAUUUUAUAGGCGUCAUUGAGGGAAAAAGUAAGUAAUUACAUUUUAUAUUUCAUAUUUAGUCAUUUAUGGAAAUUAGAUCUAAGUUAGAACCUUUCGUCAUUUAGGUUUUCUUGACGAGGAAAUAAUUGUGAAUGUUGUGGAUCUUUUGACAAAGUAUUAGUGAAAUUGUGGCAAAAAUGGUACACACAUAUUUGGUAAAAAUUAUAAUUAUUUUGCCUCACUUUUACAAUUCGAUUUUCGUGAAUUUGUUAUCUAAGUAUACGAUUUGGUAUCUCGAUUUGACAAUUGUAGUUAGAGUUAAAGGGGGAAAUUUCAGGGAUUUAAGCCACAUAGAGUUCCUUAUAAAAUUGUGUAUGGUACCCCAAAGAUAAUAUUUACCUAUUUUGUUUUAGUAUAAGAUUUCAAACCUUAUUUAUAGUUAGUCUAUGAAAAUUGUCUAUGAUACUGAAAAUAUAUCGAAUGACCUUGCAUGUAAUCUAUGCUCUUGAUGUUUCAACCUCUAAUAUGUUCAUAUUUGUGGGAUCAAAUCCCUCAAAUGACCAGCAACAUCUAUGUAUUAAAGAAAUUGUAAUUUUAAGCUGCUUAGUUGAUUCCAUGGUGUAUAUAGAGGUCAUGCCCAUUAUGAAGUGAUUAUAUUCACCGCGUUAAACUAUUAAAUAAAGAGCACUGUGGUACUCGUGAGCUUUACUUCUUCUGAAUUAUUAUGGGGAUAUCAUCCAGAACUUUAGAGUAUCUAAUUAAAAUUCUUCACAUUCUUUUGAUAACUUAAAAUUUUGAAUGUUUUUUUAUAUCUAACUGAAAAUCUUCAUUGUCCAACCAAUCUUCCAUUUAUUAACCUCAUCCUAUGCUAAGGGUGUCCCGGAGAACAUGCAUGCAAACCCUACGAACCAGCAUAAUGGUAAGUUCUAGAAUAAGCCUUAAAGCUUGCACAUUUGAUUUUAGAAUCUAAAAUUUCAAAAUAUGUGAGUACACGAUCAAAAUAUAUGUGAUGCUGAGCUUAUAUUAACCCUGUAUUAUGUGCAGGUUUUUAGUUGAAAAGUAGUUGGUACCUUUUGGUAAUGUUGAUUACGAAAAUAUAUAAUUACUUAUUUAUCUGAGAUUAUUUUUCUCUUAUUAGUAUUUUCUCUUGUAAAUGUCUGAAAACCCUAACUAAUUAGCGAACUUUAACCCUAUCCGAAAAAAGAAAGUCUCCAAACCCAAAACCACCCACCCCCCCCCCCCCCCCCAAACCUUUUUUUUUUCCAAGGGCUAUUUUCCAAGGGGGGACCCCUUUUUAAGAAGGGAUCUCUCAAACGCUAAAUUUUUGAUCUUUAGCGCAAUAUUUCAAGGCUGGACCUAUUUGAAAACCCAAUUCUAUGUUAUGACGAUUGUUUACUAGGGUAAGCAUGUUGGACCGUCCAAACCGGGAUCGCCUGGACCGGACCAAAUAGUUAACGGGGGGAUCAGUCUAGUUCCCGAUUCUAUAAGAUGGAACCAAUGAUUUUCAAUCUGUUUCCUAAUUCCCAAGUGGGCGAGGGAGGGGGAAAGGAGAGAACCGGACCGGACUAACUCUUUUUUUGAAAAAAAAUAUAUAUUAAUUUCUUGAAAAUAGUAGCAAAACCCUAAAAUAGUAAAAACUCUAGUAUUUUUUAAAUUCUUUUGGCUAAGUGAUAGGCUUCACAGAACCGGUCUGGACCGGAUAGGGAACCGAUCAUCCCUACUCGGUACAUUUUUAAACAACAAAAUUGACUUCACUAAAAGUAACAAUGAGGAAGUCAAACUUUAAAUGAAGUCGAUAUAAUCACUGUCACGAAAAUAAACUUAAUGAAAGUUGAAAUUUUAGUUCUCAAGUUUUUGUCCUCACAUGACAGUGAUUUCACUAUAUUUGAAGGAUAUUUUUAAGUUAAUUUUUAUUAACGAGUGUCCUGAGGCACUUUUUUUGCAAUCACACAUAAUACACACACACACACAUAUAUAUAUAUAUAUAUAUUACAUAUCUCAUGGUAUGUGUAAUUGAUGAAGUAAAAAUACAAUCGUUUGUUUUAAUGUGCAUUACCUGAAGUCAGUCAAUAACAAAUAACGAGACCCUUUUUUUAAUUAGCUGUUGGGCGAAUUAUGUCAAUGAUGUUAUUGCCUGUUGGGCGAUCAAGUUCAAUCACUUGCAAGAGUUAUGACCUAAAUGGUUUUGCAAGUUUUGCGAAGCGACACUUGUCUUGCUUGAAAUUGGACUAGGUCUCCAUGUCUCGGCCAUCCACUUAUGGGCAUGCAUGGUUGAUUUUUUAUACUAGCAGUUGCAUAUAACGCCUAUGCGAGUGGCUACAGAAAUAUACUUCAUGUAUAAGGAAGCUAUCUAUUUCCAAAAGUAACUUCUCGUUGAUGAACCAAAAUUUGUUCUGCUCUCGCCAUAUGUCCACAUGGAUUUUUGUAACACCGUAUUAUCCACGUCACUAAUAUAUUCUUUUAGUAUUCAUGUAACUCCAUUUAUGUAUAUGUAAAGUUACACAACUUUAAAUCGCUAAGAUUUAGAUAGAAUGCAUAAUAGAUAAAAGAUCUUUGAUUUCACCCACAAAGCACUUUUUCUACCAAAUUAUUCCCUCUUCCAUUUAAUGAGCUCUCGUGGCAAAUCAUGAUGUGCUAGAAAGAAAGAUAUAGAAUAAUACAGCAAAUACACAAAUUUAUGGGUCUAAAAUAAAUAAGAAUUGGAUAGAGAGAGAGAGAGAGAGAGAGAGAUUCCAACGCCCUUCUUAUCUUUUGGUAACUUUUCAAACAAAGACCUGUUUUACAGGUUUUAAAGUAAUGUCAAAAUUAAGAAUAUCACUUAUUAAAUAUAUAACAACACUUCGCAGUAUAAUUUCAGAACAACUAUAGUUCAGGCACACCUAUAACCAACGGGCUCAACAGAUUAAACAAAUGCACGGCGUAAUGUUAUCUUGUUAAAGAUUAUAAAAUUAAUAUCCGUUUAUUUUACAAUGAAAGAAAUUCAGAUUAGCUUAGGAUGAGUAUUGACAGUUGAUUAUCAAUCGGUGGUAUCAAUUCAAUAGGGUGCAGAUUAUCAUCUCUUUUUCUUCAAAUUUUGAAAGUAUGACCUCUACUUACUAAUGAAUCAUGGCAAAUUUUAUACCAAACUUAAAAGUUCUCUAUGAGUGAUCUUCGGUAUGAUUUAAGUAUGAAUCAAAGUAAUUAGAUAAUCUCAAAUGGCUUCAUCAAGGACUGUUUCUGCUUUGAAGGCGGUAACAGCUAAUGCAACUCAGCAGCAUUGCCGAGAAACAAUUGCAUUGAUUCUUGAUGCAAAGUAUGUCACGCCCCGAUCCUCGGGCACGCACACAUCCUUCUCACUUGGUCGAUUUUAUAAUGCGAUAUCCCAGGACUAGUAUCGCCGACCCUUUCAUUUAUUAAGCACAUGCGGAAGCAGUUAAAAUCCCCAGACAAUAAAACGAUGGGAUAGAAAAGCAGGGCCAUAUUUUUCAUAUUGAAAUUUAUAACCAAACUUUUAUACAAACCACAAACCCUUUCAUAACUAUUCACAUCAACAUGGAGAUCUCAAAAGAAGACAGAAACUUAGAUGAACUAGGCCGUACUCGAGGCCCCUCUCAUAAUUGUCUUCUUCUUCCAAAAAUCCUUUUCUUCAGAUCUCUCCUCCGAGUUCUCCUUCUCGGAUUCCUCCUCCACAGCUCUUCAGCGGGGUCCUGAAAUGGUUUCCCCAAACUGGGAUGAGACUACGUCUCAGCGAGUUCUACCCCACUAAGCCCGAUUAGUAAACUAUUAGACUAAAGGCUGCCUAAACACGCACAGGGCAGAGGACUUACCUUGGCCUCUUAUCUCACCUGCAAGUCAGUACAAUUCAUAAUAGGCACCAAAGCAAUCAUAUCACCGAUCGAAGCAUCGAUCAAAUCGACCUAGUCGAUUAUAUUCCAACAAGACCACUCACGGUCAUUUCCAUUCAGUCAAUCAAUUCACAACAUCAAAUCAAAGCAUCGACCUAGUCGAUUACAUGCCAAACAAAUCAAUCCCCACUGUGGGAUAUUUAAAAACUAGGCCACAUGUAUUCUCCAGGAUGACCUUCCAAGUCUCCGAGCCACGUGCCUCAAACCUCGGACCCACGUGCAUUCUCUAAGGCGACCUCUUCGCCAAGGUGGUACAUCAAGCCACCGAGCCACGUGUCCUUUUUACGAUGCCCGGGCCCACGUGCAUUCUCUAAGGUGCUAUCUCACCAAGGUGAUGCAUCAAUUCACCGAGCCACGUGCCCUUUUAGAUGCCAUUCCGGAAUGCUGGACCCACGUGCAUUCUCUAAGGUACUCGCUUACCAAAGUGACGCAUCAGAUCACCGAGCCACGUGUCCUUUUAGAUGCCAAAUCCUGUCACCGAGCCACGUGCAUUCUCCAGGACGACAUACCUAGUCUCCGAGUCACGUGCAUUCUCUCAGGCGACCUUUUCGCCAAGGUGACAUAUUCAACCACUGAACUCACGUGCAUUUUCCAGGUGACAUUCCAAUUCACCGAGCCACGUGUCCUCUUUGCAGUGGUUACCAAUUCACUUUCAAUAUCGACAACCAAUGCCCAAUGAUUUCUCAAUCAAAUAAUUAAAUCAACUCAACAAAACAUUAUAAAUGCUGAAUAAACAUACUUGGCCAUUCACCAAUCAAUACUCAAUCAAAUAAUUAAAUUAACUCAACAAAGCAUUAUAAAUGCUGAAUAAACAUACUUGGCCAUUCACCAAUCGAUAAUUCAAUCUCAAUCGAUUCCAAUCAAUUUAGGGUAAAUCCCUAAAAUAUCACAAUUUAUUCAAUUCCAUACAACGUGGAGCUCAAAUAAAUAAACGAACUGCGCCACGACGAUCAGCACGAGAUUUCGGUCGUCGGCCAUCAAAAUCUUAAUUUCCGAAAAAUAAUUAAUUAAUUUCGAAAAUUAAAUAAUUAAUAUUAAAAAUUCAAUUUAGCUCAAAUAAAGCCCGAUUAAAUAAACGGACUUCACCACGGUCAUCAGCACAAUAUUCCGGUCCCGAGCCAUCUCAGUUGAAUUUUCGGAAAAUAAAUAAUUAUUUAAUUUAAUUCCGAAAAUUAAUAUUUAAAUACUAAAAAAUCCACUUAGGCCCGAAAAGCCUAUUUGGAGCCCACUAAGGGUCGGGAAAAAUCCCGAGGCACUUCCAAUAAUUAGUAGACCACGUCUACUUGCUAAUUGCACAAUCAAUUUAUCUAAAUCGCAUCACAAUUCACUAAUAAUUGCUAAUUUAUUCUAAUCUAACAACCUAAAUAUAAUUAAUUAAAUCUAAACCAACCUUAAGCAUAAUUAGCCAACUAAUCCAAGAUUAGUGAGAUUACUCACCAAAUCGCGCGCAAGUCGGAUCAAUCCGACGGCGGCGACGCGAGGAACAAAACUCCCCAAAGCGACUCGCGGAUUCGGGGCCGAGAAAUGGCCCAAAACGG
rnacentral:lncRNA from 1 species